rnacentral:lncRNA from 1 species
GUAUGAAAACCUCUCUGGUCUCCACUUCAUUUAUUUAGGUAUGUUAGGAUCUGAUUUAUAAUUGUCUGAAAGUAUAUGAAUGGCAAUCAAAAACCAAAUCUACUCUAGAUCAAAGUCCAUUCAAGAAUAGGAUUGAAAGACAAACCAAACUUUUGAAUACUGGAAUCAAGUUCGACUUGAUAAGAACUCAUUCGAAUUUGGUUCAGCAGAUAUUCGAACGAAGCUUGAACAACAAUUUGUAUUUGAUUAACGUUCAAGUUUCGCUCGAACUCGACUCGAUUAGUAUAUAAGUGAAAUUUACAAAUAAAAAAAUUCAAACUAGUUGAGCUCAACUCGAGUUCGACUCGAUAAGAACUCAUUUAAGGUUGACUCAUUGCUUGGCUCGAGAAACAAAGAAGUAAAGUUUGAACAAAAUUGCAAACUCGUCAAAAUAAUUAAACAAGUUUGAAUGCCAAUGUGUUCGGCAUGUUUAGACUUAUUUACACUCCUAUCCAAGAACUCGAGUACUAGCAGACAUAUAGUUAUUAAAGUCAACUCAACCCGAUGGUUCAACCAAUCAACUUAGUGAACCCACCGAUUUUGUAAGGAACCUGAGUCUAGCAUGUUAUUGGGGGAAAAAUUUUGAGGAGAUGCUAGGAUGGUGAAUCAAACACCGGGCCUCAUGUGUGCAAGCCAAGUGCAAUCACUGCUGGACCACCAACCCAUGUGUUGGUUGUUAGUCCUUCUUAUAUUAUAUAUUAGACUAUUUAUUGUUAUUUUAUUUCUCCAAAAAAAAAUUUAUUUGAAAUUUUUUAAUAAAAUUUUAUUAUUCCCCAAACUUUAUAAGUUAUGAAAUGGAUUUAAAAAAUAACAUAUUGAACAAUUCAUUUUAAAGGCAAAUAUCGUUCCUAUUAACCUUUUGCACUUAAAAUUCGUAAAUAGGGUUGCAAACAAACUGAAUUGAGUCAAGUUUUCACAUGUCCGAAUCAAGUCUCGACUUAAUUUUAUCGAACUCAAGUUUGAUGAGCUCUCAAUGUAAAGUUCGAGUUCGAUCUCAAAUUCAAACUGAGCCAAACUCGAGCUCAAGUUUAAAAAAUAAAAAUAAUUAUUUUAUUUUUAAAAAAUGAAUCAAAUAGUAAUUUUUCUUAAAAAUAGUAAAAUAUUAGAGAUAUAUAUGUAAUUUCACUAUUAAAAUAAUAUAUAUAUGUAUAUAUAUAUAAUUAAGUUGGUUCGCGAGCUUAUUUGAGUUUGACUUCAAACUUGACUUGGUCAUCUAGAUCUCGACUCGAAUUGCUUACGAGUUGCUUAACUCAUAUGUAGCCCUAUUCAUAAAUAAACUAAAUAAUUACACUAAAUAUAGAUAAAAUUUUAUACUUGAAGUUUGGUGGAUUACUAAUUAAAUUUAGGUUUUCUUGAUUCUUAUAAAAAUUAAUGAUUCUAUAAUGAAUUAGAUUAAAUGAGCACUUACUAUGGUAUAGUUUAUCAUAGUGUCAACCAUAUUAAAAAUUAUGAGACAUACUUUUUAAAUAUAUUUAAUGGGCCAUCGAUUCAACCAGAGCGGUUCAACAACUCACCCACUGAAUAAAUCGAUAACUCGUUAAUUCACCUCUUUCGCCGGUUCCUCCUCGGGCUUGAUUUAAUAACUAUGCUAGCAGGCCAAAUCCAGUCACCUCGUUUAGGCCCAUAAUCCGUAUGGCGAACCCUGUUAACUAUAAAUUAACCAACAUUUCAAAAUUUUAACAAACCUCUCUUUGGAAGCAAAGGUUAAAACUUAAAACCUAGGUAAUUCUCUCUUUCUUGUAAUUCUGUGUCUUAAUUUAUAUGAAAUGCUCCUAAUUUUGAAGAAUUUCCUCUGUUUUUCCUCUUCCUCUGUACGAAUUUCCGUUCUUUAUUUACCCCGAGCUUCCUUUUGAUUAUAUGUAUACUUUUUUUUUUUAAUAACUUCAGUUGUUUUGAAUCUAUUGCAAUUUUUUUUUAUUCUAGCACGAAAAGAAAUUGAAAUUCCCAAUUUGAAUUCUACUUCAGAUUUUGUUAACGAUCAUUAUUAAUUUCAGGUUCAGUAUUUAAGAUCGGAAAGUUUUAUGGGUUCAGAAGCAUAUCACUGUCUGUAGUUCUUUAAAUUGCUUAAAAUGGAAAAGUGCAUGAUAAAGUUUUCAAGAAAUUCUACAUAUAUGUUCCUUUAUGGUUUUGUAUGAUAUAAAUGUCCAAAGUUGCUUUCGAUAAGUUUCGUAUUGAGAGCUGGGGAUAGGAGGAAGGAUUGGUAUAGAUAGAUUUUGAGCAAUAAGCAAGCUUCAAUUUUAAGUAAAAAAAAAAUAAGCAGGCAGUAUUGAUCUGAAGGUGUUAUAUUGUUGUUAGUUGUAAAAGGGACUAUUUUGUAUCCAAGAUUUUGUAUUGUUCCUAACUGGACAAAAGGUUUGAUUUUGAUGACAUGCUGAAAGGAUGAUCAAUUUAUGUAGUCAUUGCGGAUAAGCAAUAUUAUGGAUAUUUUCUAGGAAAAUUAGGGAACUUUAUAGAUGGGCUUCAGCAGGAAAGAGAGUCUUUCUAGUCAUAUAGACAUUGGCAAUAUUGUAGGAACCAUGUCAUCAUGUGAUGUAAACUGAUAUGGAUUUUACUUUCGGAACAUUUGUUAUGAAAGCCAGCUGAUGAAAGAUUUUUUUUUUUUUUGCCUUAGGCCCUUAUUUAUGUGUCCAGACUCCAGACUGUGGUAGCAUGAUGAAGCAUGGAAUUUUAUUCAUAACUCUGGCAAUAGCUAGCUACUUAAUCCUUAUUUUUUUCCCUCUUGGAGCUAUGGCAUAAAUGUUUAUAUUGAGAAGAUUUGAAUAUAAAAUCUACAUCCAAUGAAAUGGGCAUGGGUCAAUAGUUUGUCUUGACGAGUUAUUCAUGUUAUUCCUGUCAACCACUUGGCUCUUAUCUGUCUUAAUGAAUAGUUUACUAAAUGGGUCAUGUUGGAUAUGACAUCGAGAAACCUCUAGUAUCUAAAUACACUUAUUUUUAGCUCAAACAGAAUUUGGGUUCUGAUUUUCAUGGAGUCAACGUGGAUCACUUCAAAUAAAUUGCAUACUAUGAUAGUAGGUUAAUUGAAAUCCACUUUUGACUUGGACCCAGUUAAAGCUUAGAAUUCUUCAUUUUCUGCAUGCUAAACAAGUAUUCUUGAAGGUGGCUUAUAUUUUUUGAGAUAUGUAUCCUCUCAUGCAUAAGUGCAUUGCAUAUACUUUCAAUUUCUUUGUGUGAUAUUACCCAGCUUACCGUGUCAAUAAAUAUAGUUGCACCAAGGUUACUUUAUUUUGCAUAAGGAGCAAAACUGCCAUUCCAUAGUGCUGAAGUUUCUUAACGUUUCUAUUUUUUUAAUGUUUAAUUUUCAAAGAACUCUAGCUCACCUUCUAAAAUUUGAAUAAGCUGUUUAAUUGGUCUGCUAUCUUGUUGGGUGAUUUAUUGAACACCCCUAUUAUGGCUGAAGCUUGACUGACUGCUCUAACAGCAACCUGAUACUCCUCUGCCCAAUUUCUCCUAUGUUUACUUUUAGAGAACACAAUGAUGAAACUCUAAUCUGAUGGAAAUCUUGUUGUUAUGUUUCAAUCAUCUAGGAAAUCUAAGCACUCUUUAUUCUUGCCAUCCAUGAAAGAUGGAGACUAGGGAUAAAAAGAUAAUUCUGCUUUCAUUUAAUUGCUCCAUGCAUUUCUAGUCUUUCGACCUUUUCUGGUCAAGUUUAGCUUAGUCACUAGCUUCUGUUAUUUGUUCCUAUGACUAGAUUAGUAGAAGUAUUUGGUGAACUAUGGAGAUAAUUUAGGUUCAACAAAGGGUAUGGGUGACUGGACUUCCUUUUUUUUUUCUUUAACCUUGAAAGCAUAUAUUUUCUGGACAUUCUGUGUUACUAGUGACAGUUAGCAGUAAAUGUUAUAUUAAAGUGCAUCUUUGUCUGCUUAACAUUUGUUGGUUAAUGACUUCUUGUUCUUUAAAUAUGUGUUUUCCUAGUUUUGUUGAAUAAUGUUCUUUCUACUGGAAGUUUUACACUGUAAUUUGUUUGAAGGAGCUUUGUUUUCGCUUUCAACACAAUUUUUAGCACCAGCAAGAUGGCUUAUGAAAUCAGUGAGCAAAAGAGUAAGUUUUGAUUGUUGAAUACGUUUAAAUUUCAUCUAUUCUACAUCUGGCUGCUUUUCUCAUUUUGAACAUUUGGCAGUCUAAACUUGGUAUAAGCUUUGUGAUUCCAGAUAAAAGUAUCUCUUAGCCUGUCUAUUUUCUAUGGUAUUUUCCUUUUUUGUCCUCCUAAUUUUGUUGCAAACUACAUCCUUCUCUGCCUUCACAAUAUCAAUAGACGUUUGAGUCUUCAUGUUUUGUGACUAGAAGUAGUAGCCUAAUUCCUAACUGAAGAGUCUUUAUCAAGCUUUUUGAUUCCAGAUAAAAACAUUGCUUAGCCUGUCUAUUUUCUAUGGUAUUUUCUUUUUAGUACUUACAAUUUUGUUGCAAAGUACAUCCUUCUCUGCCUUAACAAUAUCAAUAGAUGGAAAAGUCUUCAUGUUUUGUAACUAGAAGUAGAAGACUAAUUCCUAACUGGAGAGUAGCAUCUUUUUUGAUCCACAAUUAGAUGCUGGUUUACUACACUGGAAUUUUAUCUUUCCUUUGAGCAAAUCAUGUGCAGAUAUUUGCUAAGUCAAGUUUUCAACUUUGGGUUUAUGUGUAGUGUAGUUUUAUAGGAUUAGGGUGUACAAUUAUGGCCAUAAAGUGGGUAUGUUUUGGACUUACUAGCUAGCAGGUUUUGAAAUAUUUGAUGAUACUCUGCAGUCCAUUUAGGUAAUGUACAUAAUCUUUCAAACAGUUAUUAAACUGGUUUGGACUCUAUUCUGUCAAUUAGAAUGAGGCUUUGAACAGGGGUAUAGUUGAGGUGACUUGUUUCACAAAGAAAGCGAUGUAAUAGUAUUUUCUUUUCUUCUUCCUUCUUUAUUUUUUUUCUGGGGGUUUUUGAGAGGUGGGGGGGGGGGAGAUGUAUUCAUUACCAUGACCUUUGCCCAAAACAUAUGGUGGUGGUACUAGCAACAUGCACAAAGUUCGCAUGUGUUUAUUCAUUUUAUCAAAGAAAAACUUUUAUUUAUCCCAAAAUUUGACAGUUGUCCAUUAAUUUUCUCGUAUACAAAAGAGAAGAGACUGUCUUUACAUGGUUUUAUUUUUUUUUUUUGUAGCUCAUAAAUUUGGGGUGGGGUGGGUGCAGGGGCAUUUCAUUGGUCAGUUUCAUUUGAGACACAGAGAGAGAGGAGAGAGAGGACUGCUGUAAGUUAUUUGAUUCUUUUGAUUAGAAAACCUGGUUGGUGGUGAAAGAUAGUAGAACCAAGUACAUCUACAAGAAACAAAAAUUUCUGUAAAUAAUGCAUCUACUUGAUUUGAAGGUGACUUUUUGCACAAGCUCCUUGAAUUUAAGAUAAACUGAACUCCCUUUGACGUAUUUGAAGUGACUUUUAAGUGGUGAAGAGAGCUGUUAAAUGUUCUCACUUAAUGACAGAGCUUGGAUGUGUUUUUAGUAACCUAAUAAAUCUUGUCGAAGCAUGGGUAGAUAUGGACAUCAAAUAUUUUCAUGGACAAAAGCUCCUGAAAAGUUCAUAUUGUUAUGGUAGUUGGCAGAAAUAUUGUGAUAGUUUUAACUUUUGACAUAAACGAUCUCAUUGAAAACUUCAAGGCAUUUUGAGUGUGAAAUUGAAUUUCCAUUAGGUUCACAAUACCCUUUGGUAAAGCUUAAGUUUGACUGCAACUCUGUUAAAGUUCAUUUUGCCUUAUUGGUAGAUGUUAAAGAGUUGAACUGUCAAUAGUUGCAUGUUCAAAAUGGUAGUUCUAUUUUUCUUUUGCAGUUAUAUGUAUCUGAGGAUAAUUGCUUGUCAUAAAUAAUCAUUCUAGUUUUUUCUCCUUUUCCUGCCAUGUAUUACAUUUUGCUCAAUUCAAGUGGGCUUCUAAUAUCUCCAUCAUGGGAUUUUCUUUGUGCAGAGGUUGGCAUAGGUCUUGUUGGUUUUGGGAUCCUCUUCUCAUUUCUUGGCAUCAUUCUAUUUUUUGACAGGGGUUUGCUUGCUCUGGGAAAUGUAAGAGAAUAGUUUGUAAUUAAGAUUUGAUUAUUAGAUGAUAUCCAAGUAUAGAAUAAAAAAUUACUUGAGUCUAUAAAAAAUUACUUGUGUCCAUCUCAUGCCUUUGUUAGUAGAUAUUAUGGUUGGCAGGUGUUGCCCUUUUACUGGGUUGGCGGUCGACACUGCAACUUUUUACAGACAGAAGGAACUAUAAGGUAUUCAUGAGGCACAACAGCCUUUGUCUUGAUGAGAACGAUGCAAAGAUCUUACUUGAGUUUGCUUGAUUACCUUCUCUGCAUAUUCUUUAUUGGCAUUAUAAGUCUUGCAUUUGUUUCAGUAUGUAGAUCUGUUUGGUGUUUCUUCUGACAAUUAAAUGAAAUACUUUGCGCAUGCUAGUCAGAAGCACAAUAAAACUUACUAAAAUGAUUUCCUUGAUUCUUCAAGAUAGUAGCAUACAAAUACAGAAGAGAAUUGGAUGUUAUUGCUUGUUUUCUCUUCAUCUUUUGUUUCAGGGAUCUGUUUCAUUUCUUCUUGGGAUGUUCCUCAUAUUUGUUCGUUGGCCAAUAGCUGGUAUAAUCACAGAAUUUUAUGGCUGCGUUUUUCUCUUUGGGUCAGUUCAUAAUGAUAAUACCUGAUUAAAUUGUCGUACUUUGUUUUAUUUCUGAGUCCUAUUCUAAGAACUAGUACUAAUACAUUUAUGUGUUGAUAUUUAUCCUCUCAGUGGAUUUUGGCCAUCUAUUAAGGUAUUUCUCUAUCAGAUUCCGCUACUUGGAUGGCUGCUGCAGUAUAUCCUACACUGGUGAGUGUAUUUUGGCCUUCUUUCUCAACUGGCUAUCCCUUGCUUGGGUGUUGUAAUGCUAUGGAAGCAUCUCCAAUAGUUAUUUCAUUUAAUGGAAGGAAUUAUUGGGCAUCAUGCGGUAGUAAAGUAUUCUGGGAUAGAAGCCUCAUUCAUGAUUGCCUGCCAUGCUAAAGAAACAUCCUCAGGCAUAUUUCACAACAUAUGUUGAGGAAUGCCUUUUCCACCUAGGAUUUUUUUUGGCAAGCCGGCAACGUUUUGGAUAUUGACCACCUAGCUCAUGUGGGAUAUUCUUGAACUAUUAUCGUAGUUAUAAAAAUAUGCCAAAAUGAGAAUAGUUUACUAAUACAGAAAGGACUGCUUGUUCAAAAUCACAUCUACUUAUUUAGCAACGUAUAUAUUACUGCAUGAUUGCUGCAAAUUUGGCCUCUCUCUCUCUCUCUCUCUCUCUCUCUCUCACACACAUGCACACAGGUGCCCAUUUUUUAUGUUGUCACCUAACCAAUAACUAACUAAUGGUUUGCAAUUUCAGAUUCUUGAUCGUCUAUGAAGGAGCUGAGGUUAGUUUCCUGUUUGAUCUUCUGCUUACGUUGCUCAGUUCAAAACUGCCUCCUGGUUGAAGGACUGAAAAGCAUGAAUUUUUUCCAGUUGAAGGACAGAAAGACUUUAUCAAAUUUGGAGAAGCAAUCAAAGGACCUACUAACAAAGUGUUAAAGCAGAUGAUUUACGAUUUUUAUCUUCAGUUAAUGUUUGGAAUUAUGUAUUCUAAUGGCUGUCAAAUGUAAUUAUAAUGUCUUCAUUGUAAUUAUGUAUUCUAAAUGGAAUUAUGUAUUCUAGUUGUCUUCAUCCUACUACUUGUAGUUCCUUUUUCAUACGAAGUUUAUUGUUACCCUAUGAGUAGCAAAAAGUAGAUAUUCAGAGAACAUUGACAGUGAAUUGACCACAAAACAGACCUCUUGCACCAGCCACUUUUUGGCUACACACUAGUGCCUCGCUAUCGAGGCUUUUAUAUGCAGUCAAUUUGUAAUUGACAACUGAAAAGGGGCUUGCGUGACUAAAGAUUACCAGCUCAAAGAUAGGAGUACCAAAAUUUGCCUGUAACAUUGUGCUUUUCAAUUUCAAAAGGAUGUUCUGGUACAACAGUUUUAUAAGCAUUUUCAGAUGAAGCUCAAAUCUGAGAGAAUAUCAAAUGGAUUAAUGAACUUCCAGAUUAAAUUUCAAGAUCCCUUGAUUGGUAUACACAUGAUUAUGCUCUAAAAGAAAAAAAGCAAACUGUAUAAUCUGCAAUAAGUUGAUAAAAAAGAACUUGUAAUAGUGUGUUAGUUUUGAAUCAGCUAGCACAAUUGGGACCCCAAAAUUUAUUUUUUUAAAAAAAAAAGAUGCAUUCAGAUAAAGUACUUUACCAUCUGAACCUCUUUUUGUUUAUACCCACACUUCUCAUAAAAAGGUUUGUUCUCCAAGCUGCAGUCGAGGAUCACUUUAUAGCAACCCAUUGAGCGAGCAUGGUCAGUGAGGAACCCAACAAUUUUCUUCCCUAAUUGCAUUCCUCUGAUUGAGGAAUCAACAACAACAUCCUCAAUGUGGCCAACUUUGCCACAGUUUCUUAUAAACUUCCUUUCAAUAAAAACACUUCCACUAGCAACAAUCUUCCCACUAUGUCGAUCUUCAAUUACACAUAUCACAUGUUCAUCACCAAGUUUAGCAAGCUCUUGAUAUCGUUCUUCAAAGUCCUUGUCAGAUACAGAUUCACAGGCAGUCAGUUGUUGUAGUAAUUCAAUAAAACCCUUUUUGUUAUCGGAAAUCUCAAGCCUUCGAAGUUGAAAUCUCUCCUGUUCAAUACAAACAUUCCCUGGUUUAUCUUCCAUCGAGACUUUCUAGCUUCGUUCUGGAUCUCCUAAUAAACGAGCUAUCAAUAAAGACAAAAAAAUUUAUCAUCAAAUCCAACACCUGCCCUGAAUGAAAGAUAUGAAUUUGCAAUACAUGUACUAAAUGACAAUGACAUAAGCUAUACGAUGGAGGAUGAAAUUGGAGAUACUAUUCUUAUCAUUUGAUACAGUUUUCUGAUCCUAGCUAAAACAAGAAAAAUGAUCUAGAUCUCUUCCCAUUGGCAUUGGUAAUUCAAACAAACAGGAUAGAGACACGACUCAAGAUCAAAUAAGAAUUCGACACCAAAAAAAACAUGGAGACUAAGAGAAGAUAUAUUUCUCUACCUUACCGAGGUAUUUCUAUAGCCAGCAGUUUUCAUCUGAAUGCGGAGUGGGAGGAAAGGAGGGGAAGAGAAGGAAGAGGAAAGAUGCACAUUUGACGCUUUGGGCGGUGGUGAGUGAGACGAGAGGAGAGAGAAAAGAAGAGAGAGAACAGAGGAAAGUCAUACCCAAUGACAUCAUCUUAGCCAAUGAAAAAAUCAGAUGGUCACAACAAGAGACAUGCAGCAUUGAGGACUGUAUCUUUGCCACGCGCCAGCAAGAAAAGUGUGCAAAGACCAAGAAUGUGCACAAGAAAAGACAGAAAAGCCCACCAGUGCACCCAAUAUAACCUUGAAACUGGAUGAAGAUCACUGUUCCUUACAGUUUUGCUGCUUUUAUUUACUCACACAUUGCAUGAGUUGUCCUAUGUGGUUGUUAUAAUAGGGAAACCUGUAAUGGGAUAUUGGGAUUGUUGCAUGAACAAAAGAUAAGGUCCGCAAUAUUAACAGCAUAUUUGUAUGUAAUAUGGUAAUCACGAGGUCAUCUUACUGCAUUGCAAGUAGCAUAUAGAUUGUACUAUAUACAUUAAUGCAUAGAUAGGUUGUCAGCAAUAUUUCUAGGUAGAUACUUACAUAUAGCUAAGCAGAUGUAAUAGUAGUAACUCAAUAAGUAGAAAUCAUAGGAUUGGACCAGUUUUUGUAAUUACAGUAUUGACAUAAGGACUGAGAUUGAGCCUGAAAAGGAUCGCGGCUUGUGCUUUGGAUAGUGGCAAUUGCAGCGGGCAGUGGUAGGAAAAUGUAGACUAUGUGAAAUUGUACAAGUAUGCUUUGUAAAGCAUGAAUCAAAAGCAAAGAGUCGCAAAAUUCAGUGAUGGAUCAGGUGCUAAGAAACUUUGAAGAACAUCAGACACAUUUAAACAAUUUAAUCAAGUAAACAAUGAAAAAUGAGAAUUGAGAACCAACGGAUGCACCUCUUUUUACUCCACUAAACUGUUGCAGAAGCUUUUCAAAGUUUUACUCCAGAAGAUUUACCAAUCCAUGAGAAUUAAUUCCACAUAAUCUCACAGGUAGAACUGAACGAAAGAUUUAGAUCAGCGCUAACUUUCGCAUCAGAGGAGCAGUGAAUGACAUAGGAAGGAAUUAUUUUCUCUAUUAGACACUUAAGUAUCUUUUGACUUGAAUUAAUCAGUUACUUAAUUAAUUAAAAGGAAAUUUAUUUAACCUGAAAGGACCAUCUUCUCUAGAUUCCUUUAUGAUGAUGCUUCUAUCGAUACCUUAUUGGCAAAAAACAUUAUUUUGUUUGGGAACAAAAAACCACCAUGGUUUAGGGAUGUAGUACAUGUCAAGGUCUAAACUAUCUUCAAAGAAUAAUAUUUAAGAACAAAUUGCUGUCCAAGAAUUUUGUCCAUACUAUUUAGAUAUUGAAUGUUGUAUUAAGAAGUGCAACUGAAAUACAACUAUAAUUUUUCACUUACACUAAAAUUACAGCUCCUCUGUUUAGAAUCUAGAGGAGCAUAAAUGGAUCAUUACUAAUCUGAAAUGCUUAUGCAGCCAUUUAAUUCUGAAGACCAAAGAACAAAAAGUUCAGUAUAUGUUUGAUAUCAGAAACAAACACAACAAUAUCCAGCAUAUGAAACGGUGUACUUUGGAGCAUGCAAUUACCUUUUCGUCACAGAUAUUAUUUCACUGAAUUUUUUAUUAGGUUGCACUUGAUUGCCCCUCUAUGUAUAUCUGACUUUUCAGUUACCAGCCCAUCUCCUGACCAAAAUAUACUAUUUGGAGUUAUUUCAGCCUUGUACAUAUAUCCAUGGCUAUCUAAAAGGAUUGAACAACUCAGAAAUUUAUGCACUAGUACAUGAAGCUAAAAAAAUAACAAUAAUAAUUCAGAAGCAAGCCUAUAUGAAAAGCAAAACUCUCCUCAUAUGUCCAAGCAUUUUUGAGAACUAACAGGAGAGAGGAAGAAUUCCCAAACACUAACCAAAAAUACCAAGAACAUUUAAAAUCCAGAAAUAACAAAAGGUAAAAUCAAUGGAAAACAUAAAAGAGAAACAUCAGCAAAAUGAAGGAAAAAACAAAGCCAUGGUUGUUGGAACCUGCUUACAAACGAUAUCAUAGGACAUGGAAAGAAUUCUUGUUCCAUUAGGCACUUGGAUUUAGAUUUUCAUUAAGGCUUUUCACAAACAUCUUAUAUGCACGAAAACAACUAUCCUUUAUUUGAUUAAUUUCAAAUUAAAGCUAAACCAAAAAUUGUCACCAAUGCAUUUACAAUACUAAUAAAGACUAACAGGAAAAAGGGGAAAAAAAAUCAGCAGUGAAAUUAAAAUACACAGAAAGGUUAAAAAAGUGAAAGCAAAAGCUGCCUGAAUAAGAAUAUUCCACGAGUAAAUGAGGGGAAAGAACGAAGAAAAAAUAGGGAAAAUUGGCAGUGAAAUGCCUCUGAGCCUUUUCUUGUUUGAAGAAGCAGAGAAUUAACGGAAAAUCUGAGAAAGGGCGGCAAGAGAUAAGAAACAAUAUCCCACUACACCACAGCCCACAGGCAUAAUGAUGUAAGAAAGACUAUAAUGUAUCCCCGCGCAAUAGAGUUCGACAGGAAAAUCAGUGUUUUCUACAGAAAUGCUCUUCUAACUUGCUACUAGACCAGAAACUCAGUUCAUUUGCGAGACCCAACCCAUCCCCUGCAACCCACACAAUCAUGCGCAAGCUGCUGCAACUUCAACGAUCAGUAAGCAAGAAAUAUUAGCAUUACAACCAAAAGACCUACAACUCCUAGUCUUCACAGAAGCUAGCCACAGGCAAAUGAAAUGCGAUAACCCCAAUAAUUCAAGUUAAUUAGCCAGCCCAAAAGCUUUGAUUUAACGAAUAUUGAUUGGAAACUCAAAAACCUAGAACCAGAAACAGACACAGACCCGUUCCCUCCUAAUUAUCAAAGAAUUUAAGCGCACAAGGAAACAAAGACGAAGAUAUCAGCAAGAAAAAGAUGAAGAUUUACCUCCGAUCACUUGCCGGCUAAAUUCAUCCUCGCUCGAUCUGGGAUUCUGGGUUGGGUAAAUUUUUAGGAGGAUUUAGACAGAGAGGAUUGGUUUAGUUGACUAGAACUGACGGGAAUGGGAGCGACGGCGGUGGCUGCGAAGGAGGGAACGAAAUCGGUGAAAACGAGGGAGCAAAUUGCACUAAUGGGUUGUGGACCUGUGGUAAAUUUCCCAGUUCCUCGCAAAAUCCAUCCUGGUUGAGAGAAACAAAAAGUAGUCGUUAUAGCACCAAUGUUUUUAAACUCGGACCGGCCAGCGAACCGGAGAGGGCCCGGUUCACUGUCCGACCGAUCCAACCAGCCGAUUCACCUGUUUUCUGUUUUUUUUUUUUUUCAACUUUAGUGUUAAGUACUUCACAUGUCUUUAUUCUACACUUGAACUUGACGGCUAAUGUAUAAUUUAACAUAGUUAUUGAUAAUUUAAGUUUCUAAAAUGCAUUCACCAACAUAUCUAAAUUUAAGUUGAGAUAAUAACAAAUUUCCUAAAAGUUAUACAUAAAACCUGGAAUGAUAAACAUAAUUAAAAUAUCAUAAUUCACUAUAAGUUUUCAUAAAUUCAUUAUAAACAUAAAUAGAUACAAUCCAAAUGUUCACCAAUUAUCACAAAUAAAAACACAAAAAUAAAUAAAAUAAAUAUUGAAAUUCUUUUACAAUCCUUAAAAAAGUCCAUAAAAGAGUCCAACUUAUAUUCAAGACAAACCAUUUGAAUAACAAACUUUCAUCAGUGGCAUGACAAGCAACAAUACCACCUUCACAAUUUCAUCAACUUAACUUGAAAAAGUUAAAAUUUUAUUAUGAAAAUAUAACUCUAAUUGAUCAAACUAAAAAAAAAACCAAAAUUUUGAAAAACAAAGAUACAACUAAAUACAUAUAAUAAGCUGUGAGCUAAAAAAGAAAAAAAAAUCUAAUAUACAGACUAAAUGAAACUUUCGAGUAAGAAAAACUCUAACUAGCUUUAAAUGAAACAAACAUCAAUUGAGAUACAAUCGGUUUAGUGCCAAUAAAUUUAAUGGUUAUAAUAACCCUAGCGGCAAGUGUAAGUAAAUGAUCAAUUGAUGGGAUCCUAAGGUUACCAUUUAUGGAUUUACCGAGACAUACAAACAUGUGGUCCGAUUUGCACUUUUUUUUUAAGCUUCUGUUUGACAACUUUAACAUGUCUUUAAUUUUGUUGCUUCAGUGAAACCUUUAAAAUUCAAGAUGAAUGAGCAUUCGGUAGACUAAUUACUUCAGCAUAGAAAAAGCAAUAAAAACACAAUAAACAGCAUAGAAAAAACAGAACAAUCAUUGAUACAAAAUUUAUUAAUUUGAUACUUCAUCCAUGUCUAAUUUUAUUAAUUUGAUACUUCAUCCAAAAAAUAGCUUCUCCAAAUAUGAUUGCAAAAUAAUUAAUGAUUCAUAAUUUCAUCCUUAAUUAAUCAAAUAAAAAUAAAACAAAAACUAGGGGAAAUGGAUGAAAAUUGGGGGAAAAAAGAAGAAAAUGCAAAAAAAUUGGCUAAAGAUAAUAACAUAGAAAACAAAAACCUUGAAAAGGGAAAAAUUAAGCUUACUAAGAUGAUGGAAAACAGGAAAAUUUCUUGAGUCUCAAAUAUCUUGUGAAAGUUGAAAUUUCCAACUUGUCUACAAUCUGCUAAAGAUGAUAGCUUUGAUAAUAAUGGUGAAGGUUUGAGAAAAUCUUGUUGUGGAUAUUUGGGUUUAAAAGGGUUAAGAAGAAAAAAUUGAAAAAAAAAAUUCAAUAGGAGAACUGGAGGAGCGGUUGGCCUAGAAGUAGAAGCCUGAAUUCGAGAAAGUGAUGGAUUGAAAGAAAAGUGUGUCAGCUAUUUCUUUUCUUAAUGUCAAUGUUUUGAAAAUCGGACCGGACCGGCCGGUUCGACCGGUUGAACUGUGAACCGACCAUGAUACCGGUCCGGUUCAAUGUCAUAGUUGACUUUGUCAGAAAACCGGUCAAGAACCGGUCGAACCGUAAAAACUGCGGUCGAACCGCUAUUGAACCGGUUUUCAACCUUCCUUUUUUUUUUUUGGCAAAAUGCAGCUAUUAAGAUUUGAACUCAAGACCUUUGUAAUAGAAGACCAAUGUAUUAACCAUUGCACCAUCACAUCCUAUUAGUUUUUUUUGAUAACUUAUUUAUAUAAAACAAACACUCAUAUUUCUUUUUUCCAUUUUUCUUACAAAAUCUCAUCCUCUCAUGACUCUUUCUUUUUAAUUUUCAACUCUCUCUCUCUAUCCUCUUUUUUUUUUGUCACUCUCUUUUUAAUCAAACCUCUUUAUUUUUAAUUUAUUGAUGUUUUCUUCCAUCUUUUAAUUUUGUUUUUGUCCAUUAAAUUGAAAUAAGUUCAAAAAGAAUUAUUUUUUUAACCUAAAUUAUUUAAUGCUACAACCACUCACUUUUAUCUCAUUUUUUGUUUCUUAUCAAGUUUACAUUUCUAUUUUCGAUUUUCUUGACUUCCUUCGAACUCCAAACUUCCUUUUUUAAAUUGCAAUAUCUAAAACGUAAAUUAAAAUUUAAGUUCACAAUAUCUAAAUUCUCAUAGACGUGAAUUUUGUAUAAUUUCAAAAUAUUGUGAUAUUUUUGGGUUGGAUUUAGAUAUAAUUGAAAUUGAGAUGAAAUUUAUUUGUUUUAAAUUAUAAUUUAAAAAUUUUAUUUUUAAAAAAUCCAAGUUAUUAAAAAAUAGUAAACCUUUCAUCAUAUAAAGUAUUAAAUUAAUCCAUUACAUGUCUUAUUUUGUACAUAUAUAUAUUUAUAUAAAUAAUUUUUUAAAAAAUUCAUUGAACCGAGGUUGAAUUGGUCCGACCGAUUGAACCUCGACCCUUUCACUUCACCGGUUCAAUGAACGGUCCGAUUUUUAAAACAUUACUUAAUGUUAGGGUUUCAUUUUUUUAAUCUAUUUUUUAGUCAAGUUAAGUAGAAUUCUCAGGACAAACUGAACUUCUCCUAUGAUUGUGGUCUAGUGGUAAGAUUGUAUAAUGUGAACAUGGAGACCCGGUUCGAAUUUGAGCAGCUUCAUUCUUGACAAUUUUUUUGAAAAUUUAAAAACCGCCGGGUUACGGUUUUUAGCAGUUCAUACGGUUCGACCGAUUUCUAGCAAUUUAUCAUUAACUUUCGGGUUUGAUACUAGAUCGGACCAGUGGUAUGUCUGGCUCGUAGUCCAACCAGUUGAACCGGCCGGUUCAAUCUGAUUCUGAAAACAUUGUGUAGCACUCUUGCAAAAAUGGUACUUAUCCAUUUCUAUCCACCUAAUUAAAUGGGUACAAUUGAGUUGACUCACUUAUAUAUAUUUUUUAUUUUAAUUCACUCAAAUAUAUUCAAAUCACCCAUUUUGAAACCUUUAAAUAUGGCAAACCAAAUAUCAUAUGCGGUGCCCUGCAUAUGAUAGUAAAUUAUUAAUUAUUUAAACUUAAGGGAAAUUCGUCAAAUUAAUCAUGAACAUUUACACUAGAAUCAAUUUAGUUCUUAUGAAUUUUUUUAAAUCAAUGUAGUCCUUGAACUAUUUUUUGUUUUUCAAUGUUUGACUUUUGUGGCGGUGCCACCAAAUUUUACAUCUGUUGCGCGACUAGUCACAAGUAUUUUUGUGUUGUUGGAUCACAUAUUUCAAUUAAGGGAUUAGAACUAAAACAACACGUGAUUAAACUCAAAACAUUUGGAGGAAAUGGUCUCAGCCAUCUCUAGGGGUUUAGUAGAAAUUUUAAUGGCAGCCAAAAUUCAUAUGAAUCUGAUCGAUAGAUCAGGAUCUUUGAUGAUGGAGAAUGUUGACAGGGAUAAGGAUGGCAAUGAUCAGACGAGCUCAUCACCAAUAUCAAGUAAGCUUCAUUGAGACCUGCUAUGCCUUAUGUUAUCUUUUAGCUAUCUGAUGUUGGUAUUAAGUGUGUUGAAUGGUUUAAAAAAUUGAAGGAUUUGGUGGGGUGACUGAUUUUUAUGUAAAAUAUUAAUCUCAUGAGACAUGAAUAGAUUUGAGGAUGGUGAAUUUUUUUUUUACUUUUGAUUUUGACCACUUAUGUCGUAUUAUGUGGUCCCUUUCUUUUAAAUUGUAAUGUCUUAUUGCUUUCUUGCUCCUCAAAAGUGAGACAUAUUAGAAGCCAAAGUUUUGGAUAUAAUUAAUUAAACCAAGUCUGUAUUUUUUUUUAAAAAAAAAAGGAAAUUUUUUAGCCUAAAAGUCUUUUAUGGUGGUUUAUAUAUCAGAGAUCUACAAGAGAAAUAUGUGGAGGAUAGUAUGGAAACAUUCAAAGAAGUUAUUGCCAUGAGGUUGAACAAAUCAAUUUUGCCUGAUUUCUGCAGUCUUGUUGGAUGAUGUACUGAAUUCCACAUGAAGAUAAUAAACUUAGGCCCUGUUUGAUGAUCUAAUUCAUCACUUAAAUUUAAUAUAUUCAGAUCUUAAUAUAUUCAGAUCAUUUGAUAAUAAAAAAUUGAACAUCUGAAUUAAUUAAGUUGCAUUGAAUUUUCUAGGCAAAAUUUGCUCCCAAAAUUAAGUGAUAAGCUAUUCACUUAUCACUGAAUGUGAUAUGUAUUCAAAUGUAUUAGAUUUAAUAUUUAACAAUUCAAUAACUUAAUGGAUUCAGACUUCAGAUUCAAGAUUUCAAACUUCAGUUUUAUCAAAUGCAUCCUUAGUCUCCGGCAAAUUGAUACUGAUGAUACAAUUGGUAUGGUUAGUAUUGGUAAACAGAAUGGCGAAGUUGAAUUGUAUGUGGUUGAUGGCAUCCAUGUAGAUUUGUAGAUCAUUAAUAUGAGAGUUCAAGUGUAACAAAUUGUGACACUAAUGUUGCAGAAGAAGAUGAUUUCUUUGUCAAUAUAACCUUUGAAGAUAUUGAACUCGCAUUCAUGUAGAGAAAAUCAUAGAGCAUUUGAAGAAGAAAAGGGAAAAUCAGAAGCUGUUUUACAUGAAGAAAAUGACCCUAAUGAAGUUACACAUUCAGAAUCGUCUGAAGGUGAUAGCUUCCAUGACUGUGACUAUGAUUUUAGUAAAGAUGAUGAUGAUGAGAUAUUCCAAACUUGUGUUGUGGGUCCUAAGAAAGAGCUGGAUGCGCAUUGGUAAUUUGCAAGCUGGCAAUGGAGGUAGCACUUUAAAAGGGUAGAGCCAAGGCAACUGCUAUGAAUGAGCUACACCUUGAUGAUAGAGACUAGAUUCUAGUCUAAGAAGAAUCUGAUUCAAUGGUCUCAGAUGAGUUGAAAAGUGUGUAUUCUUUUUUUGAUGAAGAUAGCACAAGGAGGAGGCCUAAACUUGCGAGAUUCAAACCUAAAAUUGACAUGGAAGAUCCAAAAUUCCAUGUUAACAGUUGUUCAAGAGAGUAGUUGACAACUAUGUAGUCAAAUGGGCAAGGACAUUUAAGUGCGUGAAGCAAGAUGCUGCAAGAAUGAGAGUCAAAUACAAGGCUGAAAACUGUAAAUGGAUGUUGUUUGCUUCUGAAGUUGAAGAGGGUGAUGAAGACAAUAGGUCUAGAACAUAAAUGUGGUAGGACCUUCUACCACAAGAGAGCAACCUCAAGAAUCUUGGCAAGAAAGUAUGUAGACCAUUUAAGAUGAACAAGAGAGUGACUCUAGUUUAAAAGACAUUCAUGAAGGGAAAAGUGUUAAUCCAUGGAAGCUAUAAAAAGACCAAUAUGAAAGGUUAUGAGAUUAUUGUAAAGAGUUGCUGAAAGGGUAAUUUGGAUUCUACAGUCUACAUGGAGACAAUAUCAGAUGAAGACCUUAGGAAAGAAAUAUUUCAGAUGCUAUAUAUUUGUUUUGAUGCACUAAAGAGAGGAUUUGAAACUGGGUGCAAGCGUGUACUUGGUGUAGAUGGCUACUACCACUUGAGAAGUUCACAUCUAGGGGUGCUCUUAACCUCCAUGGGGAAAGGUCCCAAUGGCUGCAUUUAUCCAGUUGCUUGUGCAAUAGUGAAGACUGAGAAUAAGAGGUCGUGGAAGUGGUUCCUUCAAUUCCUAAAAUAUGAUUUGGGAACCCAUGAUCAAAGAAGCUGGACAUUCAUCAGUGAUAGAUAUAUAAAAGGUUAAUCAUUUUUAAUAUGAAUUAAUUUUUUGUCACAUUCUAUUACAUGGUUGCCUACUGAUAAAUUUGUGUUUGUACUUGACUUAUUUACAAGGCCUAGGAUCUACUCAAGAACUAAUUUCAGGUGUUGAGCACAGGCAUUAUGUUAGACAUCUUCAUAAUAAUAAAAAGUUAAAUCCUAGUGAAGCAUUAAGAGAGAGUUUCUGGACAUGUGCAAGGUCAUCUUACAUGACAAUGUUGCAGAAUCAAAUAGACUCUUUAAGGGAGAAUGAUGGAGCUGCCUAGAAGUGAUUGAUGGACAACACAUCACCUCACCAUUGGUCAUGGUCACACUUCUGUACCGCUCCCAAGCGUGAUUUUCUACUCAACAACCUUUGCUAGACUUUAAUUCAGUGAUAACAGAUGCAAGUGAGAAGCCAAUUCUUGGCAUGUUUGAGGCAAUUAGAAUUUAUCUAAUGGAAAGACUAUGAACCAAAAGGGAAUGAUGAAGAAGAAAAUUGACAAAAUCUGCCCAAAAAAUACAAAAAAAAAAAAGGCUUGAGAAAGCAAAAAAAAAAAAAAAAAAACCUACUCCCAACGUUGCAAAUGAUCAAAGGAGGACUUGUUUGAAGUUAAACACACAUAUGAGGGCAUAUACGUCAUUGACAUUCCAAACAAAACUUGCACUUGUAGAAGAUGGGAGCUAACUGGUGUGCUAUAGCUCCAUUUGAUUAACUGUUUUUAGAAAUAUUUUUGAAAUAUUUUACUAUAGUAGUGUAUAUAAAAAACUUUUACUGUAAAUUUUUUUUGUGAUGUUUUUGGAAUAUAUUUUGGAGUACCUUUUAAAAUUAAAAUAUUUUUAGACUAUUUUUUAAAAAUUAAUACGACCACCUACACCCACAACCCCCACCCACCACUGCUACCACCCAUCCCUCCUCCUUUCUCCUUUCCUCCCCUUUCCUACCACCCCCAGCCCUUCCUCUACCCCUCGAUCUAAUCUCGAUUGUGGUUAUGAGUGAGGGAAGGAGGGGUAGGAGGAAGAGAGAGGGGGAGAAGGACCCUCGAUCUAAUCUUGAUUGUGGUUAUGGGUGAAGGAAGUAGGGAGGGGGGGAGGGUAGGCGGAAGGGCUAAAGGGAGAAGGACCAAGAGGGAGGGGGAGGAAAAAGGAGGAGAGAGGAGGUGGCAGCGAUGGUGGGUGGGGGUGGGGGAUGGGCAGGGGGUGGAGGUGGAUGGUGUUGGUAAUAGGUAGAAAAUGUUAUAAAAUAUAAUUUUUAAUUUUUUUAUAUAUAUUUGUGAGUUGUUUUGAAUAUAUUUUAUGGAUGAGAUUUUUUUUUUUGAAUUAUUUAUAUUUAUGUAUUAGUAUAACAUUGCAUUUGAAAAUUUUACUUUUGAAAAAUAGGUCGAUCCAAACGGUUCUUUGACAGGUGUGUCUACACUCUACACAGAGUUUGGUUCAUCCAUACUACUCAAAAGAGAGCUACUUGAAGGUGCAUGAACCAAUUAUAGGUCCAAUGAGUGGGCCUAAUGCUUGGGUCAAAUUAAACAGAGAACCUAUCCUGCCACCUAAGAAGUUGAUGCUGCCGGGUAAGCUGAAGACAUUAAGGAGAAGGGAGCCAGAUGGACCAAGGACAAAUUCAAGUGAUGGAACCACAUUUCCAAGAACUGGACUUGUCACAAUGACAUGCUCGAAACGCCAUCAAAUAGGCCACAUGGUGAGGAAAUGCCCAGUGAUUGUACAACCCGAUGUAAUUGCUGGAUCUGGUAAUAGAAGGCCUUCUCUAACACUAACAAGUGUACCUAGUGCAAAGUGAAGGGUCAUAACAAAAGAACCUGUCCAAACAAAAUUGAUGCGAAUGGAAGACCUCAUUUAGAUAUAAGAGCUGGUAAAGUCCAAGUUUGAACAAUUCUUGGCUUUUUAUUACAUGAUUAUGAGCUUAAGACUAAAGGUGCGUUUAAUAAAACGGAAGUCUGAAAAUUGAAAUCUGAAGUCUGAAUCAAUUAGAUUAUUAAAUUGUUAAGUAUUAAAUCUAAUACAUUUGAGUGUACAUCAUAUUAGGUGAUAAGUGAAUAGGUCAUCACUUAUUUUUGAAAGCAAGUUUUACCUAAAAAAUUCAAUGUUACUUAAUUAAUUCAGAUAUCCAAUUUUUUGUUAUCAAACGCAUUUCAACAUGUUAAAAUUUGAAUCUAUUAAAUUUAAGUGUUGAAUUGAAUUAUCAAACAGGGUCUAAUUCUUUUUUUCCUAGACGAAGGAUGCGACAAUGAGAGAAAUCAAAGACCCCCACAAGACAAUUCUUUUCUUUUAUAAUGGCUAGUUAGAUUUUUACUCAUGAUCUACUUUACACUUUAGCUAAAUUUAAUAUUAUAUUGAUUGAUUAAGAGAUUACUUUUCAUGCUAUCGGGUGAAGAUGUACAUGCUGCGAGUGAGGAGCCUGAAGUCAUUGAUGUCCAGCUUUCAGCUUCGAACCAAAUUCCUCAAAGACCAAACUAAGAUCAGUAAGUGUUCUAUAUGCCAUGGCAUAGGUAAAAAACCAACAUGUUCAAGUUGGCAGGCUCAAGCAUGGCGAAAGAGAAGAGCUGAUAUGAGGAUUUAUGGUCCAUUUCCUGAAUCAAAGGAAAAGUAAACUAGGAAAAAGGAAACAGUGAGUUUACUUAUGUCAUUGUUUAAAAAAAAAAAAAAAAAAGUCCUAUUGUAUAUAUAGUUUGCUGAAGUAUUCAUCUGUUCAAUGCAGGCGCAUAGGCUGUUAGAUGAAGAACAUACGAGCAAGUUCAUAACUCAGGCUGGCAUUUGUUUGAAGAUCAAAAUUAGAACCAAACUUGCUGGGGCAGAUGUUUUGGGACUAUAUUCUCCUUUGCUCAGUCUCUGCAAAGAUUUUGUGCUGAAUGUCCCCUUUUUGGUUCGGAACUUAAUGUAAACUUUUGGUCCACAACUGAGUGUACUCUUGGCAUUCGCUAAUGUAGUGGGGCCAAUCCCCGGAGUCACGUGUCAGUUCGAACAUGAUGAUCUGUCAGCUCGGCCAGAUCAGCUCAGACAAGAAGGGAUACCAGUUUGUGCAUGGCCACCGCCUUCCAGCUGGAUGGGCCUGGUGGGCCGCAGCUCCCGAACCUUUCAGAGCUAACAGACGGAGCCCUAAGAAGAAUCCCUCUCUAGUAGGGCUUCUAAUCCUAUAAGAAAACUACUACCAAGAGUUCUAUAAAUACAACACCAUGAGACUAAGCAAGGUACGCUAUUUACAGUAAUCAAUACUGUUACUCUACUCUUAGGUAUUACUGAUUUGACCGUUGGAGUCACAACGGGGAACUAGUCCCGUUGUUCAUCCUUUCACAGGUCAAUUCGGUCACCUCGCUCGUGUACCGGUUCGUUCCCUCUCAGUUCACUCAACCCGUGGUUGCUUAGUUCGGAUCGUGCUCUCGGCAGUCUGCAUCAGCUACAUUUUGCAAAAUUGAAAAAAUUGCUAAGUAAUGGAAGUGGCUUUGUUACCAACAUCAUGUCUUGUGAUUGUCAUUCCAUUGUUUUGUGAUUCUUGGUACAGGUCCAAAUUAGCAGAUAUCAAAAUUUAAGGCAAAAUUCUGCCAAAUUUUUUUCAACCCCAAAUGCCACAACCAAGUUUAACUACUAUGUUAACAUUUUUGAAAUUCAACUUCCCCUUGCAUGUAUUACAUAAACAGAUAUUACAUGAAUGGAUUUAAAUUUUCUUACAACCAAAUCAAAAAUACAAACACAACCAUGCUUUGGGUCCAUCUUUAUACCAUCUCUAUUGCAACAUUUUUAGCUUCAAAUCCAUGAAACUUUGUCCUUCCUGGCCACUGCCAAGAACUACAGCAAACAACCAAAAACAAGAGCAAAUCACUAUCACCGCUAACAAUUUGGUUGUUGCUUUCAACUUCGCAAUUUCGAUCUUCAUCAUCUUGUUCUCUUUUUCAAGCCUUCCAAUUUCAAUCUUCACCAAUGUGUUCUCCACCUCGGCCGUCCUCAGAUUCUUCAAAAUUUUGGCCACCAUAUUCUUUGUCAUCAAUGGCAUAAUGUGGAUCCUACCACAAAAAGUAGUUGCAAGCUUUUGGUGCCUAAAUAAAAUUUCCUACCAUCAUUAUUCUAAAUUAAUUAAUAACUACAUCACAUUUUAUUGGCAAAAAUUAAUUUAAAAAUUACCCCAUAAUUUGAGCAGCCAUGAAAUCUUUUGCCUAGGUUCAACAAUAUCCACGAAAUCAGUAUUCGACAUGCGUCACGUCAGUGAUAGAAACCAACCUCAUCCCUAUUGUAAAACUUUACCUUUCCUCUGUCUAUUCGCCCGUGAUAGAAACCAACUUCAUUCCCACUAUAGAACUCUACCUUUCCUCUCUAUUCACCCUUGAUGAUUGCCCACUUUCUUUCCUAUCAUGGUUUGACUGUUGACUGCUUUUUGAACUUGAUGCCCCAUGGUCGACGUUCCUCCUCUAAUAUAUUUCUUUGGAGAGAAUUUGCACAAGGAGGUGCGAAUUUGGCGACUUGCCCUCGGGCCAAAGUGAGUUGAUGUUCCCCAUUUCCCCCUAAAUGUUCAUAUUUAAUCGCGUGCUGUGUUUGUUCUAAUCACUAUAUUGAAAAAUUUGAUCCACAUGAUAAAAAUACCCCUAAGUAGUACAAGAGAUGCAAAAUUGGUGGCGACGCCACAGAAGUCCUGCGUUAAAAAAACAAAAAGUAGUUCCAAGAUUAAAUUGGUUAAAAAAAAUUUAUAAAGGGCUAAAUUGGUUUUAGUGUAAAUGUUCAGGGACCAAUUUAGCUAAUUAAUAGUAAAUUAUUAAUUAAAAGAGUUAUUCACCAUUGCAUUUGCAUGGCACUUUUUAUUAUUAAGAACUUUUUCUUUUUUUUUUCUUUUUGAACAAUUAUAGAUAUAAAAUAACUUGAAUACCAAGGUUUGUAUAAUUUAAGAUACUAAAUGCAAGAGAAAAUUUGAAAUUAAAUAGAAUACAAAUAAUAAAUUCAUCAAUAGCUUAAUUAUUAGUUUCAACUAAAUUUUACCCUAUGAUUCAUUUUUGUAUUACUCAAAUUAAUAUUAAUAAGUUAAUAUAUGAAAGAAAGAGAUAUAUUAGGAAAUGUUAAAUGUCAUCACUUUUUUUGAAUGUAUUAAUACAAAAUCUUUACAUGUAAGAAAAUAAUAAUAGAACAUAAAUGCGCUUAAAAUUUGAUUCUUGGAUGAUUAAAAACUCUAAUGGAUAGAGAAAUUUUUUAUAUAUACAUGCACACAACCAAUUAUAUAUAUAUAUUUAUAUAUGUAUGUAUUGCAUAUAAUUUUAGAGGCCAAAUUUUUUUUGUUAAGAUGCAAAAGUUUGGUGAAAGAAUUGAGAAAAAACUAAUAAUAUGCUCGGACAGCUGUUGACAAAUGAGUUUCUUCUAACUAUCUGUUACUAUUCAUUUCACCAUUUAUAGAUAUUUGUAAUAUUGUUGAAUUGUAAUUUAUUUGCACUAAUCCUAUUACCAUAGGUUUUUCAUAAUCUUAUACAAUAUAUAAAGACCAACUAUAUUUUUAUUCAUUUUACAUUGUGUAAUAUUGUUGUACUGUAAUUUGUUUGCAUUUUUUAAAAUCUUUUUUAAGUAGAGAAUGGGUGGGAUUUAAGAAGCGGGGAGGGGAGGGCAAGGGAAAAGAGGAUCUAAGAAUCGAACACUAAUUUAAGAUUUAAAAAGUUAAAUAUAGGUAAUGUAACAACUAAAAGAGAUAUUUAUCUAACAAUUCAAUCUUCAAAUUCAACAUAUGGAAGUUCAAAGGGUAAGGUCUCGUUUCAUUGGGAUUAGCAAUUGGAUUAAAAAAAAAAGUAAAUUUAAGAUAUCUAUAUUCCUAUGUUUUCCUUUUGGUUAAGGAAGACAAUUACAAUGCUAAAUUUUUUGUAUAAGAAAAAUUUUGAAAACGUACCCUAUGCAUGGCUUUACAUGUUAAAGUGGCGAAAUUAUUCUUGGAAGCUUCGCUAUGCAGCCACUGGGAUUGGCUCAUUGACCUGACAUGACAAUUGAGGGCGGGAAGAUUAUACAAAAACAAAAAACUGAAAUUCCUCUCAAGACAAAAAAAAAUUACUAAAAAGCGGCUUCACUACGGAAGAAGCUUGCUUAGUUCAUGCAUUUCAUAAAGCCGGCACAGGUAACAACCCAGAAAAACUUUUUUAAAAGAGACCAGCGAAAGCCCCUCAGGUUCGGCUCCGUGGUUGUAGUCCCAGUUGGAGAGAGCCACGUCCAGGGAUCGAGUCCCCGUUCUAUCAUGGCUGGUGAUGCUUGGGGCGGGCCGCUCCCAGCCCGUACUUGGAUUAGUUGGGUCGUACGGUAACCAGUCCACAGGCCCAGAUACUCACUGUGAUCAAAAUAAAAAAAAAAAAAAAAAAAGAGACCAGCGAAAUUAUUUUUUGAAUAUUUCUAAACUGUACAUUAAUGAUUCCUGAUUUCGCCACAGCUCAGAACCCAAAAUCCUGAUUUCUUAGUGAGAUAUGUAUUUUGACCAAAUAAUAUCUGAACUAAUCAAUAAAACACAAGUAGAUUAACAUUAACCCAAUUAAGGUCACCCCUAAUUAUACCCUCAUCAUCAAUAAAAUCCAAAGGGUGCCCUCAUUGUUGUUAACUUGAAGUAAAUUAAAACAAGAUGUCCAAUCAUCUUUACCUAAUCUAGUAAUAUGACAUAAUUCAAGCAAUUAUAAACAAUUUGAAUCUUGUUGUAAAGGAACUAUAAAUAAACUUUUGAGUACACUAUCUAGCCUAGAUGAGUACUAAUUAAUAUAACCUUAACUAAUACCAUCAAACCAUCAAUAAUUUUAAGGAAAACUCCCAUAAGGGUUUUGUCCAAAAGUGCCCCUUGAUGAUGUUGGGGGGAUUGUCGAGGUAGGGCCUCCAAUUUGUUAAGGAAUUUGUUUGUAUUGGGGUGAAGGGAUAUUGGAUUAGUGGGAGGGGAGGGGGGUCCCAAAGUGCUUGUUUUUCAAGAAAAGAGUUGUAAUCUCAGUGACAAUAAUUGGCAAAGCAAAUUAGAAAUCCCAACAUGGAACUAUUAAUUAGGAAAAGAAUACAUGGGACAAGUAGCUAAAGGUUAUAGAGGCUUUAGCAGCCAUGUGGAGACAACUAAUAGUUAGAACAACUAGAGACCUACCAAUCUACCAUACACUAUCAUGAGAUUUUCAUACAUCACAAUAUAUCCUCUUUUUGGUCACUUAUUUCAAAAGCAAUAUUCUCUUUUCCAAAGUCCCAACAAAAUCAUUAGGUAUUGAUGGUUACAACAAUUGUGCUUUUUACGAUAUACAAAAGAAUAAUGCAAAAGUUGUAAUUGAAGGGAUUCUUGAGUAUAGAUCCCACCUCAUGUAAGUGUCUAUAAAAAUACCAUAUAAAUACAUAAAUAGAUACAUAUUUUCAUUUACGCACACCACAUGCAUGCUAAUGAUGUAUCUAAAUUGAAAAUUUCUGAUGUAGUUCAAACUAAUUUAGAACAUUAAACAUCCAAUUUAAUCCACUAAUCCAAAUUCUUCCCCUUUCAUGCAGUUAAUAUUGUUGUUUUUCAAAGUCCCAACAAAAUAAUCAGGUAUUGUUGGCUAUAAUAAUGUGCAUUUCAUUAUAUACAAAAGAAUGAUGAAAAAUUAAACUCGUAAAUAAAGGUCCAGCGUAUAAAUUAAUAUACCACACUCAUGCAUGCAUCUACACAUAUACCAGUUGUAAGAAAUAUAUGAACCCACAACAUGCAAAUGAUGUUUCUCAACUGAUUACUUUCUUCUUAAUUCAAAUUACUUUAGAACAUUAAGGGCAAAUUCCACUUACCCCCUGUGGUUUAGCAUUUUUUUACAUAACCCCCUAUGGUUUCCAAAACUAUAUAUAACCCUUUCAUGAUUUGAAUUAAAGUGUCAAAGUGAUGGGAAUGAUCAUUCUUAAUGGAGUCACCUAAAAUGUUAAAAAUACUCUUAUGUAAAGUUGAAAAUUAUUUAUUAACUAAGGGGGGUUAUAUGUAUAUUUUGAAAAUCAUAAAGGGGUUAUAUGGUAAAGUAUUAAACCAUAAGGGGGUUAUAUGGUAAAAUAUAAAAAUCAUAUGGGGUUAAUGUGUCAUGUAUUUAUAAGGGUAAUUUCGAUAUUUUUAGAAAUUCCGUUAUGAAUAACUAUUUUCGUUACUUUGACACUUUAAUCCAAAUCAUGAAGGGGUUAUGUAUAACUUUUGAAACCAUAAGGGGGUUCUGUAAAAAAAAGGCUAAACCAUAGGGGGAUAAAAUGUAAUUUGCCCGAACAUUAAUCAUCCAGUUUAAUUCACUACAUCCAAAUUCUACCCCUUCCAUGCCGUGAAUAUUAGUUUCUUGUGUACUGCAAUUUGAUAAGAACUACAUCAUCACAUUGGCUAAAUUCAAAAAACAUUAAUCAAUUUGUUAGCUAGCUUAAAUCAAAAUAACAUCCUUAAUUUCAUUAAGUUUGAAUCACUAGUUUUCCAUCAUGUUGAUACUGACCUCUGAUUAUUGAUGUCUAGUCUUAUUCUGCAUACAUAGACAAAUAUGUCAAUCGGAAGGGAAAUACAAUUUGAAAGAAUUGAAAUAAAUAAAUGACAUUGGAUCAACAGGAUCAAUGUGAUAGACAUUAAAAUGUCAAUUCCACUUGAGUUUUUUAUAGAUGGCAUGGGGAUUAUUUGUCAAAGAAGACAGAUAUGGUCCAACAUACAGUAAAUGUUGUAAGCAUGAUAUUUGUAGAUCGGUUCGAAAGAGACACUCUAACUAUUGGGGAUCCAAUGUUUUAUGUCAAAAUUAUAGCCUAUAGUUUUUCACAUGCUCCUGCCGUGUCGGUGACAAAUUAAGCCACUUGGAAACAUAUUCUGAAAUGCUUGUGAAGCAGUACAGGAAGAUCCUAGGGUUCGCUUAAGUCAUAGAAAUUCAUUCAUAAGUGCUAUUUUAAGAUUAAUGAAAAGUUAGAGGUAUUUUAACUUUUUGAAUCAUGACAUAUUGAUGUACUCCAAAUAAUUAUCAAAGACUCUAAAUUUAGACACUAAAAUGGUAAAAUAAAUAUCCAAGUGCUUCCAAGUAAUAUGCAUGGCAUCUAAGUUAUGGAAAGAAAAAAGAAAGAGGAAGAUGUAUUGCGAGUUUAUCUAAUUAAAAAAAAAACCGGCGAAUUCGUGUUAAAUUUCACAUAAAGUACAUAAUCUUAAGACAAUUAGUUUAAAUUCCACAUGACUUAAGUCAAAAGAACUCAUGUAAUGAAACGGAAGACUAGAUUGAACUAGUUGAAUUAAAUAGAGUAACUCAAGAAAAGCUCUGGUGGUCAAUGACAAUUAACAAGCCAUAUUAAUAAUCAAACACUUGGUGGCAUGAAAACCCUAAUGCAUAGCCUAUUCUAAAAGCAAGGUCAGUUAGAGAAUGAAUUAUUUGGGAACAUUGUGGAAAGAACCAUUUGUGAUUGCACAGUUGAAAUUGAUGUGUCACCGACUCAAUGGCACAAUAUAUUAGUUAAAAGGUGGAUGAUAGGUACACGUUCGAAACACUACAACUACUUGGAAUAAAAAAAAAUGAACAACUAUUUGGACCAUGAUGGAGAAAACAAGCAUUAUUGAACAAGUGAGACUGCAGGAUACAAGUUGACUAUAGGCAGUUAUUUACGAAGAAUAACAAGCCAUGUGGCCGUGAUUUGAAGAUGCUCUUUCUAAUCAUAUCUAACUUAAUCUUUGGCAAUAGUGGCAUGUAUAUGAAUAAAUUGGACAACUUACAUGCACCGCCUCUCUUAUAGUCAAUGCUGCAUUUGUAACUUCUCCUUCUGAUCAUUCAAAUUAGGGUAUUCUUUGAUGAGUAUAUUUGCAAGAAUACUAUAAAUUUUUUUAUACAACCAAAAAAAAAAAAGAUAGAGCAAAAUAAAAAAAUAGGAUUUAAUUGCAAACUUAGUCAUCUUACAGACAAUGUGCAUAUUUUAGACCACAAUACUUAUGUAGACCUGAUUACAAGUUCAGCUGUGAAUCACAAAAUUCACAUUAGAUAAUAUCACUUACGUUUUGCUUAAUGGAGAAAUGCCCAAAUGACAAAACUAAUGGUCAUGUACGUGUUUAGUGUCAAAAUGAGUUGUUCUUUUGACGUGGGAUUUCAUGAACCCUAAAUUUCGUUAUUGUAGUUAAAAAGGCUAAAAGGCUCCGCUCCCUUGAAACAAUAGGGUUUUUUCCCAUCUUGCUUGUCGUCCUAGCAAUGGCCAAAUUAUAAAGAGUCCUUGUAAAUUAGACUGGGCAGUAUUGGAUUUGGGUUGAAGAUCCAAUGUGUAAAGCUACAAUGAAAUUCAAAGUUGACACCACCUUAAAUUGGAGGCUUAAAUCUAAUGAAUUAACCUUUUGGCAACGCAACUGACAAAAUUGGCAUUUGAACAGCAAAAUUAGAACCAAAAAAAAAAAAAAAGGGAACCUAAAAUGAAACCAAGAAUCUUAAAUACAAAGCCCAACGCGUGGCUAAAAGAGGAAAGACAAGAAAUGUUGUACGCCUAGCUAACAACAGGCGGCGAAGGGUGACGAAACUAAAGAAAAGGGUUCCAAGAUCAAUAAUUUGGAAAUGAACAAAGUGAGAUUGACGCCUUAACUAUCUGAUUUCUUUCUUAGGAUGCGUUUGAUAAAAUUAAAAUCUAAAAUUUAAAAUUUGAAUUCGUUAAGUUUUGUUUUGGUAAGUGAGAGAACUUGAAUUCAAAACAUUUUAAAUCCAACCCUCCACCACCCAACCCAGCUCUCUCCCUUAAAUCCAUUAAGUUAUUGAAUUAUUAAGCAUUGAAAUCCCAACAUUUGAGCGUAGUUUGUAUUAAGUGAUAAGUGAACAGUUUAUCACUUAUUUUUUAAAAUAAGUUUUACCUAGAUAAUUCAGAACCACUUAAUUAAUUAAAAUGUUCUAUUUUUUACUAUCAAAUAUAUAUUAAUAUAUUAAAAUCUGAAUCCAUUAAUUAUAAGUGUUAAAUUGGAUUAUCAAAUAGAGCCUUAAUAUUUGAAUUUGUUUUAUUCCUUUAAAACUUACUUUUCGUAUCAUCCCUCUGAUCUUUUAACUUACGCCAAAUUGCGUCCCAUCACUUUUUUUUCCCCUUUCAAUAUAUCAUCAAGAAAGUGACCUAGUAUUCCUUUUUCGAAGUAUUAACACCAUCAAUAACAGAAUUAGUUUUAUCAGCGGUAGUAGAGUUGAUCAAAGAUCUAUGAGUACACUUUACGAACUCCUCAUCUCACCCUAUUCUCUUUUACCUUAAUAUAAUGUAAAGGAUAAUUACCUUCUCGGCCUUUCUAAUGUAUGUUCACUGGGCAGAUGUUUAUAGCAACGACGUAUAUUAGCAUUUGAGAAAGUAAUUACUAGAUAUUUAGACCAAAAUAUAUGACGUUUAAGGGAUGGGAUUGAUAAAAAUAUUCAAGUAUUGCAUAUACAUUUAAAUUAUUGUGCCACUUUAUGACAAAAGAAACAAAUAUUACUAAGAUUAAGCUGUAAAUUAAGUGAAAACAAUAAGGAUAAAUCAGUUUCCAUUAAAUACUUUGCACAGUGCAAGAAAUUUAUGUGUUAAGGCAUAUCAUUUUUUUUCCUGAAUGAUUUUUUAGCAUGAUCCACAUGCAAAAUAAUGAUAAAAGAAAACAGCUAUAGAUCUUGGAAUGUAUCUUGAUGAUAUGGCAUGAGAAGAGUGCUAGUUAGAAUAACCUAAAAGACUAGGAUCGACAAAAAAUAGUAGGCAUACUAUAGGUGGUACAAAAUAGGUAUUCUCAAAGAAUUGAGAUGCAGUUUGAUUUCUAACCUAAUUGUGUUUCUAACCUAAUUGUAUGUUACUUAUUCUGUGUAUGGAAGAAAGAUGCAGUCUGAUUUCAAAGUUGUCAUUGAAAGAAUCCAAAAGGGAUGCAAGGAGGAAUCACCGACAGCAACCAUAAUGGAAGAAUUAGGACAGCUGGGUGGCAUGUUCCAAUACUGUACGUUUUCUUUUGUAUAUAGAACUAGAAAUAGGUGUGCACGUGAAAUGGCACAAUUUCCUACUGAACUUGUUUCCAAUAUUACAUGGAAACAAAGGGUUUGUUUGGAAAAACUUGAUUUCAAAUAAAAAAAUUUACUUCACAAAUUUCAACCACCUUUUUAUCUUUUCAAUCACUUUUUUAUUUCACAUACAUCACAUCACAAAAGGUGUUACAGUAAUUAUCUCAAAUAAAUCAUCCAAAUAAACUCUUAAAGAAAGUAUACAGGAGUAUAAUAGGUCAACUGUCUCUUUUAUAACUGACAUCUUGUAUUUUCAAGUUCAAUAUAUAAACAGAGAUAAUUUCAGAUGCCCCCUCAAGGUUUCUAACAAUUAUACUUAAAUAACCUCUAAAAUUAAAAAUUACACUUAUCUCUCUUCUGUGAUGGACGUGACAACAUGUUAGCACCAAAAGCCUCCUAAUGACUAACUUGCCGUCAAAAUGUUGUGGCUAAUAUUAUUGCAAAAAUGUGAGAAAAAAAUUGCCUACAACAAUAAUAUUUUUUUAUUUACUUCUUGGUACGAGCAUCUGCAAAUGAAAAAUUGAUUUUGUCAUUUCUCAACUGUUAUGCUGGGAAGUAAAAUUAAUUUUAUUAUUCCUCAAAUGCCAUAGAGAGGAAGAAUGCCAAGAGUUGAAAAUAGCAUUCAAUUUUUACAUUUUAUCCAACUUAUAUGUUGUCAAAAUAUAGUUGUUGCAACUUGUCCAACUCUUCUUGCUUCUAACUAUCAAAAGUGCAAAAUUGUAAAUGUACUCUUUGUUGUACUGAGAAGAUCCCUACUACUUUUGUAUCUUUUUUCUCUUUUUAAAUUAAUUUAUAUAAACAAAGUGGCAAAUGUUUUGUUCAAAAUAUAAAGAGAGUAAAGUUGGCAAAAAAUUAUAUGUCAGUAUCUUUUCCCACUUUUUCAACUUUCUUUUAGUGACAGGGCCUGCAAUAUUUAUCAAAUGUGUCUACCAAAGGGAACCAAGUGUAAUUUUUAAUUUUAGAGAAUAUUCAAGUACAAUUAUUAGAAACAUCAAGGGAGGUAUCUGAAAUUAUCCCAUAUAAAUAUGUUAUCAUUUGAUAAAAAUAAAAAAAAUAAAAAAAAAAGGUGACCUCUCUAUUUCUUUAUCUCUUUUGAUAGAAAAGGGUCAACGACUUUAAAUAUAACUUUUUUGAAAGGGCAUACAAAAUGGUGAAAUUUGGCUAAGUUCAUCAACCAUGUUGAUUGGAGUAAUGGUAAGCGAGCACACUCAAUCGUCAUCCUCACUCCACCUCGGCGUUGCAUCCCCUUUAUCUCCUUGUUCGGUGCACGAUCGUUUAGAUAUUUAAGUUAAAUAAUCAAAUAAAAUAGAAUUUUGGAAACUAACACUUAAACUUCAAUAUGAGAUUGAAAACUACUAAAACUUUUAUAUACCAACAAUGUAUAUACCAGCAAGUUUAAGGCCUCGUUUGGAAUUGCAGCGCUUUUAGUAAAAAAACACUUUUGAGUACUUUUUGAAGCGUUUGAUGAACACCAUCUCAUAAAAUUAAGAGCAAAAUUUUUUGUAUUAAAAGCACUUUUGACAAAACUCAAAUUUGAUACUUUUAAAAUAGAUUUUAUAUUUAAAAAAUAAAGUAUUAAAUUUAAUCAUUUUACCCCAUAUUAUGAACUAAAUAAAGAGAUAAUACAUUAAAAUUUUCAAAUUAUACAUUAUCCAAUACAAUAAGUAUUUAUUGAACUAUAUAUCCAAACAAUAUACUUAAAAAGACUUAAGCACUUAAUAAGUGCUUUUAUUAAAAGUUUUAUUGGUAAAGUACUUUUCAAUAAACCAUUGCAAUGCCAAGUGGGCCCUAAAUGCAUAUCACAUAUGUAAAGUUUGGUGUUCAAAUUUAAAUUGAGAUGACAUAGCAUACAUCCAAACUUUUCAAUGUAUAUAUUGACAAUGUAAGAAAGAUUAAUUCAAAUAAUAUUACUAAGUAUAAAACAACAAUACAAGAAAACUCUGUUAAAAGUUCAAACUACUUAAAAAAAAUAGUGAUGAAACUUUAGUAAGUUAAUAAAGUUUGUAACAGGCACUUUACAUAUUUGUGUUACAAAGUAAAUAAGAACAUUUCACUCAUCUACAUACAUAAAUACACGUAACGUCAGUGGCGAAGUUAGGACCUAUGGAUUAGAGGGAGGCAAUAGUCAAUAUAUAAAUUUGUAGUAGGACUAAAUCUUCAAUAUGAACGACUAUAUACCCUUAUAUUCACUUUGUUGCUUGAGAUUUACAAGUAACAUCAUAACUGUGUUUAAACUUUAAAAAAAAAAGUUAAUUUUUUCUCAAAAAAAGUCAAAUUUUUUCUAUAAAGCAAACCUAUGUAUCAUUUUUAUGUAAAGAGAGAAUUUUAGAAAUUUGAAUAAGACAUAAAUAAACGUUCAAGCUUUGUAAAGGGUCUAAUAUAAAGAACUUUACAAAAUUACAGGGAUAGAGGGGACAAAUUGGUGUUUUUAGAAAAUUGAGGGAGGUCCAAAUAACGUGUAAAAGCGAAAACACUAUAAACUGUCAAGCCUAUUUUAUAAUUUCAUAAAACUUAAAGGGGACAAACAGGUAUUUUUAGAGAAUUGAGGGGGUGCAAAUUAGGUGCAAAAGUUUACAAUUUCACAAAUCUUGAGGUGAGCACCCUCGCUCUCCUCAAAAGCACGUGGCUUUGCUACAGCAUAACAUGAGCAUUAAUAUAUAAGAGUAAAUGCAUAUUAUAUAUCAAAUUUUAUGCAGUUUAUGCAGGGCACUGAGCAGGGGUGGAUGGGCUUCCACCAUCCCUCGCCCCAUUUAAAGCGAGAGGAGAUUUUGUGCCGGCAUCUCUGACAGCGUCGCUCGUGCCCCUGCGCGCCACUGCCCCGGUUGCCAUCUAUCCUGGUUGGCUCCUAGAUGAUGGAAUACCAAAACAAAAGUAAAAAAUUAGAGAAUACGUAUAAAGAACAAUCACAAUAUGAUGGAAAAUUCCAAGAAUGAAAGCGCUGACCAAUUAAGAUCUGUCGUUUCAAUUUAAGACUUAGUCGGUGUUAGAUCAUGUUAUGCUUUAUGGUGGCCAUGAUCUGGCUUGAGAUUAGUAUUGAACCUAUUGAUAUAGUUGCUGAUAUACUGAUUUCAGGGCACUAUUGAAGUCGACAGUUAAGUGCUGGCCAUAAAAUUGAUGAGUUUUCUGAUCUGUGGAGAAGGUGACAGAUUGUUUUGAGGCCUUUUUUUUAAUUGCAUGUUGUGAAAAUGGAGUCCAAAAUUGGGUCAUUAAAGUGAUCUAGCAAUCAACAAACUCCCACUAGAGGAGUUGACCAUCAUAUUAAUUGUGAGAUGGGAGGUUAAGAAUUCAAAUCUUGUCUCUCAUUAAUAUGCCUCUAUAUGAGAUUUGUUCUAAACUCAUACAGCUGCACCAAACACUCGUCUCAUCUGAUGGUGGUUCAAUCUCCAUCAAGUUCCUCCGACUCAGUUGAGCCACUCUUUAGAGUAGGCUCCCCUCCCCCCAAUAGAUGUACCGUUACAUAAAAUAAAACAAAAUAAAAAGUCAUCUGGCAAUCUCAAUUGAGUUGUUAAAGUACAUUGAUAUGUGAUAUAUAUAUAUAUAUAUAUAUAUAUAGACACACACACAGAGGAUUAAAGCCAAACCAAUUGUAUUAUAUAUACACACAAAUCAUCAUUAUACGAUUGCAAAUAUGGUUUUCAUUUCAAACCUUGUCUUCCAAAUCCAUGAAGUUGCAUAAUGUGUAGAUUUUUAGACUAAUUUCUAUUCUGGACUCCUGAAUUAUAGAAUUUAGCCAAAAUUUAAGGAUAAAGUAUCCAAAUUUAAAGUUUAAGGAUAAAAGUGAAAGUGCGUCCAUAGUUUAAAGGUCGAGUUUGCAUCCUCUGCAGCUACUUUGACCCAAAAAAAUUGGUAUAUGACAAUUGUUUUGAACGUAGAAACCAAAUCGAUUUGCCUAAUCAACCACGGUUGAUAUGACCGUUGGAGUUUGUGAGUUUAUCUAACACGCUAGUGGAUAUCCCACUAUAUAUUAAAGGGUUAUUUGUAGCCUCAUCAGUUAAUAAUCUAAAAAUUACUUAAUUAACAUUUAUCCCGGUAUGAUUAGCAAGGGGUGAAAAUGUUUACAUACUGUGAAGUAUUAGACUGUAUGAUAUGCCUUUUUCUUUUUCUUUUUUUUUGGUGUCAAUUUCAGGGAGUAAGAAGCUAAGUGCACAAAUUAAGCAUUAAAAUGGAGGGAGAAAACUGAUCAUAAUUUAUGUGAAGAGAAAAAACUACUUAUAUAUUAUCAAGCAACAUCUGUAGCUAGUCAAACAAAUAUACAGCGGAGGACAUUCUAGAUCGAGUGCUACGAGUGAGCCUGAAACUGUGAAGCAAAAACAACUUGAACAAUAAAUUGAGAAAAAAAAAUAUGGGAGGGAUCUUAACCGUUAGACUAAGACUUCCUUGACAAACAAUAAAUUAAGCUUAGAUUUUGCUUAGAUGUAGAGAUAUCCACAUGGACUUUGCAGGGACAAGAAUUUUGAAACAAUUUCCAGUUUCUGUCUCUCUCCUCUCCCCCAUGACUAUUGUACGCAAUCAAAAUUGAAGUACACGUGAUUCAUACUAUUUAAAAAGAAGAAAGAUUGACACUAAUUUCAACAUCUGCCUUUGAUUUCUCCAUUAAGCAUGUUAUCAGCUUUGUUUGUCUAUGCUUUGUAGUAUUAUUGUGAGACAAUUGCGGUGAUCUGAUUGAUGCUACAAUUAAUUUAUCUUAAUUUUUAUUUGUUCUUCAAAUUUGAGGUAUCUAUUCUCUUCAGAUUUAUUUUUUGAUAUCUGCGUAUGCUUAAUGAUGUAACUUCUGCCAUUAAAGCGAAUUUUAAUAAAAUCAUGAUAUUUUUUCGGAAAAAAAAAAGAAAAAAAAGAAAGUCACUCCACGCAAUUGAAUUUUUUCAAUGGCUCUAAACGUGAUAAAAAACGACUAACUAAUUACUUUGAAAAACAAAAUUGACAAAUUGCUAUAUAAUGCAGGAUAUGUCUAGAGUAUGUUUAAUGGGCAUUGGUUAAAAAGAUCCCCAAAUGCGAGUACUUGGAAGAAGUGAAAAUUAAACUAAAGUAUUUGUGUGAUGGGUGCUUAAUGUGCAAUAGUUAAACACGUUAAUUUAAUAGGGAUCUCAGGUGUUAAUUUUUUUUUUUUUGUUUUUUUGUAAAAGAAACGUUGUAAUAAAAAAUAUCUCGAGAAGGUGGAAGAUCUACACGUGUCUCCGUUUAAAUGGUAAUUAGAUUAAAUACUAUAAAUUAGUUGUUAGAGUGCCCAUUAAGUCAUUAACGAAUCUUAUAAAAAUCCCUAAUCAGAAUUAGUAAUUUAACUACGACUGCAAAUUAUUGCAUUACUAGCUCCACAAGACUCAAAUCUUGUCUUUCUUUGUCUUUUUCUCCGGAUUUCUAACUUGGAACAGAAGAAGUCAUUUAAUCUUCAGGCAGACGUGAUGCGGGGAAGCUAUCUCAUAGACAGGGGCCGACCAACUACCUUCCCGGGAUAAAGAAGGAAACGUGGCAAAUGCAUGUCACUAAUAAAUCAAGCAGAAAGGAGCAAAGACCAUGAUUUUCAUGGCCUUCGAAGAUGAUCCAGGCUCUUUGCAGUGACUGUAUAGUAUAGUAAAGGUGGACCAAUGAGGUUGGGUAAGCUAGAAAUUAAAGACUAGUUUAAAAAAGUUGGGAUCCGAUGUCUUUCUUUGUAUUUGGGGUUCUGUUCACGUCUGUCUAGAUGUGUAAAUUGACACAAAUUUAGUGUAAAUUAAUAUAUUUUUGGCGUAAUUGUGGGUUCUAUGUCAAUUCAAUUAUAAUUCAUGUUUAUAAAGUUUACACAACUAAAUAGAAUUGGAAAUAGUGAGGCUCCAUUUCUAUAUAUGCUUGGGUUCGAGCUGUCGGCAGUCUUCUUCUUCUUUUCAACUCUCCCACCCCUCCCCCGCGCUCUUCCUACUCCCAAAAUGGCCUUGUUCGGCGGACAAGUUUUUUGCCAAGUUUAUCUGCUACAAGUUUUUUAAAAACUUUAGCUACAGUAAUCUCAAAAAAAUUUUCAAAGUUUUUAAACUAUACAUUUCAAAAUAUUAAAAAAAAAACUUCUACAGUAAGUUACAGUAAAAUUUUAGACAAACACCCAAAAAAUUUACUUGCCAAUCCUGAACCCGACUGCGACGGGAACUUUAAAAGUCCUCCCCUCCCUUGAUCAUUGGUGCCGACAGUCCUUGUUGAUAAGGGAUCUAGAAACAUUAAUAUAAAUCUGUACAAAAUGUUGUGAUGGGCUGCCAUAGCCUUGGGAUAAGAUAACUUUCCCACCCCCUAAAAUUUUUCCUUACCAAAGUAAAGACAAAAAGAAAGAAAAAAGUAAAGGUUGGAGAUGGUUGAUUUGAAAUUGAAUAAACUGGAUUCUGUGUGGAGCAUAAAUUCUAAUAAGUAACAAAAUUUGUUGUAUUUUUACAUAUUGUGCUUUUUACAGUUUAUAUUUGUUGUUUUCAGCGUCAUACUGCUGCAUACGUCGUUCUGCGAAAUUGUGACUGAAUUUUGUCAAACUAGAUGGGGGAGUGUUGGAAAAAAUGUUCAACACAAUAUGAUUGUACAUCAAGAAUUAUGUAAAAAAUUCUCUGCUAGUAGACCUAAAAUUCAGCAUUUUAGAAGUGGAAUGGAAAGUAUGAACCUAAACAAUUAGGUGAAUUCAGCAAGAGACAAGUUUCUCGUGAAAAGGAUGACUAUUAAUUAUAUAUAGUGCUACCGACACUUGAAUUCUUAUACAAAGCCCAUGGUAAAUGUGUCACAUAAUGGUGAAGCAUAUUGGUAAAUAAGAUUGAUUGACAACAUUGCAUAUUGGAACGUUGAGGUGUGGACUUGAAUGUAUCCAAUGUUGAAACAGCCAAGAAAUUAAAUACUCAAAUAAAAUUUACAAAUCUAAAAGGAGGGCAUUCAAUCAUUUUAAAACUGUUUUUUUUUUUUUUUGCUUUCUUGUAAAUCAAUUUGGAUCUAUGCAGAAAAACAGUAGUGACACAAUUUUAAAGUUUUAUUUCAGACAUCCACACAAUUAUGAUUAAGAACUCGCGCUUGAUUUUUUUUUUUCUUCCUUUCUGCACCUUUAUCAAAAAAAUUAAUCAUUCAAAAGAAUAUAGAAUUUCUGCUUCAUACAACAUGGUGCAAUAAGUGAAGUAAAUGGUUUCAGACAAAAAUAUGAUACUAAUAUGGGCAUAGUUAGAUUAAACACUCCGAGUAUUGUUAAGGGAACUCAAUAAUCUCUUUUACAAUUUCUAAAAAAGCACAUAAAAAAAAAAGAAGUAGAAUGUCAUUAACAAAAAAUACACAAGGACGAAAUAUAAGAAAGAAUUCCUAGUUUAAUUUCAAGAACUUAUGAUUGAGAUUUUUACUUCUCCAACCCCAUAAACUAUGCUUGUCUUUUGCCACUGGUUUGAAUUUUCUCCAACCUCAUAUUCCACCAUAUUUGAAACAUUUUAAGGCGUCAGCAUCCAUGCCAGUGCAAUUCCAGCAAGACUCUCCAAGUAAUUAUUGAGUUUGUAAAACGACUGAUCUUGAAAGCGAUUAGCUUAAAUUAUUUAGAUGCAAACUGGCUACCUAUUUUAUGGUAUUGUCCUGUACGCGACAGUAGCAUUGACAACUACAUUGAAGUGAUAUAUUUUGGGAACCCAUAAAACCAUACUCUCAAAUUAGGCCUUAUUUCAAUUAGCAAGGGAAGCAAGGGAAACGUAUAGGUUAUGACUUGAAGAAAAAUAAGAGAAAAAAAAGUCCUAGUUCUCUCUACACGUUUGAGUGAGGUGACAAAUAUUUGACUCUUUUUUAGAAUCUAAGAGCGUUAGUAAUACCAUCAUUCACUAAAAUUUGAAGUACAUGCUUGUAUCAGUGAGUAUAUUUUUUACACGUUGAUAGUAUAAAAGUUCUUUUUCUUUUUACACGAAGAGGUAUGACAGGUGUGCAAUAAUGAAAUUUUAAAUUUGAACGAAGAUUGUUUGUCGUAUAUCUCAACCUAUUGGUGUAAAGAAUUCCUUACAUCGUCAUAGUCAAAAAAUGAAUUCCUAUGGCAUUUGCUUUCUUAAUAGUUCAUAUUUAAAGUUACCUUGUGGGUUCUACAUAGAUAAUGUAACUUAAAUAAAUAAUGAAUGUAUAAAACAAGAAAAGCUUUAAGUGAUCGUAGUUGUAAAACUCUAGAGGAUCCUAGGAUGAGAGCUGGCCUUAAUGUUUGUGCUUUUUGGGCAAUAAUUCUUUCCAAGAAUUUAUUUAUUUUUUUAAAAUAAAAAAAAAAGAACAUGAGCAGAGCGACUAGUCUUUAUCCUGUCUGGUAUUAUUUAGUGAUAAUCGUAUAUGGGUUACUUCUAGCGUGGAAAGUAGAUGAACUCCACCGUCGGCAGAUGAAGUAUUAACGAGACAACUCAGCAGCGUGGACAUCUUUCACAUGUCAAUUGGGGACCAAUUGAAAUAAGGCAACCGGCUGUAGGGUUGGCUUAACAAACCUGGCCUUGAUGAUGGAUGGAUGGAACCCGGAAAUCCUGAGUGAAUUAAUGAACUUUCUUGCAUCAAAACCUGAGUUUUGUUUUUAGUUAUUACUGACAAGGUGUUUAACAUAUCAGUCCGGUUUUCAUAAUUACGAUCCCGAACUUGACAUGCCAUGUUGGUACCAGCUGGGUUAUAGUUAUGAAAUUGGUUUCUUGUUAAUUAUUAUUACAAAAAAUAUUUAUAAUUGAAAAAGAUUCAAUUCUUGCAUACUAAAUAAUAAAUAUUUUUAGGAAAAAUCGUUUAAAAUGUCUUUCACAUUUCGUUAAAUGAAUUUUUUCAUCUUUUACUUUUAAAAUAUUAACUUUAUAUCUCUUACAAAUUCAAAUUCACAAUUUUUCGUCCCAACCUAAAUUUCAACCACUUUUUAGUCUAAAAUUAUCACAUGACUCAUAUGUAAUAAUUUUAUAUACAAAAAUGUCAAAUUUUACUUUUUUAGAGACAAAAAUAAAUAUAAAUUGACAAAAAUGAAUAUGGUAUCAAGUUAAAUCUUGCUUGUUUAUGUGCAAAAAUGAAUAUGAAUUUGAUCAUUUGUUUAAUUAUAAAUGGGAUAUAACUCUUUUGCCUACAAAAAAAUGAACUUUUCUUUUUGCCAUGAUAAAAACUACUUUUAUUUAACUAUCUAUAGCUACCCAUGACUAUUUUACUUUUAACUAUUUAAGUAUAUGUUUUCAACAUCACUACCCAUAAAUAUUAUAACUACUAAUAUAAAAUUAUUUUAUGAAAAAUAUUUAAAAGAUUAAAUUUUGUUUUGAUAAUAAAAAAAUUUAUUUAAAAUAUAUGAUCAUAAAUAUUAUAUAUUUUUUUAUUGCACACACAUUGGAUGUCCAUGAGCACUAGAUACAAUCGAAUUCCAAAUCUCACUCCUAGUGAUAAUGCAAUUGUUUCAAAUAGUGAAUAUCUCCCCUACUAAAUAAAUUAGAUUGUCCUAAACUAGGUCCUAAGUCUGCCAUUAGUUGUAAUGAACAUGACCGACUACAAAUCACAAAUUUGACAAGUGCAAUAUCAAAUUUCAAGUCUUUUUAACUAUUAAUAUUUUCCACUAGUUAUAAUGAAUACGAUGGAUUAUAAAUCACAAACCUGAUGAGUACACUAAAUUUAAGGCAUUUUAACUAUUAACUCGGAAGCAACAAUGUUUAGAUGUCAAAUUAUGCUCCCAUGUUCAAUUUAACGUAUUUAGAUAAGUGUUUAAAGUAUACACGAGGAUCAUUUUGAUUUGGGAUUUUUCAAGCACCCAAUGACUUAUUGUCACCUAGGUUUCUUUAAGUGCUCCAUCUUAAUAAUAGUGUACCUAUAUUUACACAAUCUUUACAUUUGCUUUUUGUUUAAAGUAAUUUAUCCAACUUUUAUCAUUUAACAUUUUUCCCUUUCUUUAUUUGUUCAAAAGCAAUUUUUUGUUCAUUGCACUUACCUUCUUUUUAUUAUGUUUUUCUUUUGUUUAAUGUAAUGUAGCCAACCUUUUUCCUUUUUUGUUUUAACAAAAAGAAACACCGUUAUUAUCUUAGAACCAUAGAGAAACUCAAGAAACAAGAUGAAAUAGUGGUUAAGCUACACAAAAAAAAAUGCACGCGAUUAACAUCUCAAAUUUGAGAGAUUUGAAUGAUGGGUAUAACAACAAAAUUAUAAGAUCAUAUGCUUCCAUACUGUGAAUUUCAUUUAUGCAUUUGGGAUUUGCAAGAAGUGUACAUACCUUUGAAUUGUCAAGAUUUCUAGGUUAUUUAUGAUUAUUUAUAUGGUAGAAUAAUUCACUAAUAUAAUUACUCGAUUGAAAAUUUUCAUGUACAUACCUUUGCGUAAUCAUCGAUAGUUGGGAUAGCCAUCACAUUUACAAAUUAUAAGAAUAGUAUUUUUCUUAAAGAAAAAAGAAAAAGUUGGUUAAAUUAUAUUAUAAAAGAAUUAAAAAGGAAAAAUGCAAUAAAGGAAAAAUGCUUUUGAACCAAUAAAUAGAAUUAAAAAAAUUAAAUGGCAAAAAUUUGAUAAAUUACUUUAAACAAAAUAGAAAAAAGACCACUUUAAAAUGUCUUUCGAAUUCCCAAAGAGAUAAAGAUGUCAUUUUAAAAUAAUUGGGAACGUUGCAUUAGGUAAAAAAAUCUCACGGAUGCUCGAACUGAAGACGCGAAAGCGACAUCUUUAUUCCUUCACGAAAAUAGGCUUUAUUUUAAGCAAGCGCCAAAAUUAAACUACGCCCCCUUAUUCAUUACCGGUUCUAGCCUGUCUUCGGUUGCAAAUUUCAUUUUUUUGUCUGUUUUCUGGCCCACCUAACUGUGUUGUCCUAUUCCUAUUACUUCUUCCCACCAUGCAAAGAUGACUCAGCUUUCCACCAUAGAAGCAACCAUAAUACAUGAUGGGAGCUGAACGAUUAGAAAAGACUUGAAAAAGACUUGGGUAGUAAGUGCCAACUGGAAGCUUACAGAAAAGUCAUCAUGUAACUAAGCGGCACAUGCAGCACGUGCAAUUGAAUCUUCCAUGUACGUGAAAUAGUAGUCCAAUUAUUAAUAAAAUUCACCGAAUUCUAACAUUACAGCAGUUUUUUUUUUUUUUUAAGAAAAGUACAAAAUUUAAUCAUUCAUUCCAAAUCAAAUCAAAUACCAUUGCAAAUCGAGUGGAGACAGAUAGUCUUAUCAUUAUUUAUGAACACUGCUCUGAUAUUAAUAUUUGAGCAGUGACGAUAGGGGGAGUAUUAGGUUGGUUGGUAGAUGGGACGGCUCGUAAGUAAGUAAGAAGUUUUAAAUUUAAAACUAUUUACUUACCAAAAAAAAAAAAAAGGGAGUAGCGACGAUGUGGUUUGUCUGAAUUUUUACCAAAGUAAAAGUACUGCUUGGCAUUGUUUAUUAAGAGUUCAAAAUUCUGGUUUCUAUUAUUUUCUAGUAGCAUUUUCAUGAGAAGAAUGUUGAAUUAUUCAAGAAGAUGUUUGACUUUUAAGCUUCUAUAGAAUGUGUUUUCUUUUUUUAAAUUUAAAUUUUAAAUUCAAAUUCAAAUUAACUAUCAUGUAUCAUGUAUCGAAUGAUAAUAGUGUAUAUAAUAUUAGAAGAUAAAUCCUAUUUUUAAUUACUAAUUCUUUGGAACUCUUCCGAGUUCCAACCAUUACUUUGCCAAUCUGUUCCUGAAUUGUUGGUUGAAUGAGUUCUGGUUUGUGUACAAUGUCCUUGCGGGACAACUUUUCUUUCAAUAACAAGCAAACUUGUUUUGGCCACUCGUACAAUAAGUUUAUCUAUCUAGCUAGUUUUAUUAUAAAAAAAAAAAAAGAAGGAUGUAUUAUACUCGAUUUAAUUUAAUAUAAGCGAGUUUUAGUUUGCUCAAGUUUGAGGUGGGCUCUUCCUUUCCUGAUACCUUCCUGUUACAUGCCUUUUGUACAGCACGCUUUGGCACAUUUGUCCGACAGAACUAGGACUACGACUACGACUACGCACGAAUCGAACUGUUUACGAGAAAUUCAUACUCGAGUUCGAUAUUGUUUGGACUCGAGUUCCAUGUUGUUCAAACUCAAACUCAAGGUCAAAGAUAUUCAACUCAUUAGCUCACGAACCGGCUUAAUUAUAUAUAUAUAUAUAUAUAUAUUAUUUUAAUAAUAAAAUUACAUAUAUAUUUUUAAUAUUUGUUAGGAAAAUUUAUUAUUUUAUUUAUUUAUUUAAAUAAAUAAAUUAUUUUUAAAAUUUUUUUAAACUCGAACUCAAGUUCAAUCUUUACAUUGAGAACUCGUCGAGUUCAAGAUCAAGUUCGAAUUUUAUAAAACUAAGUUAAAACUCGAUUCGAUUAGAUCAAAACUCGACUUGAUUUAGUUCGUUUGCACCCCUAGAUAGAACUUUUUGUUCAAAAAUAUUUAUAACCCCUAAAUUAUUUAAUUAUUUAGAAGCUUUUCUAUUUGCAUUUUCUAAAAAAAAAUGUGUCAGAACAAUUCUACAGCAGAACUGGACAUUGUUCCCAUUAUAAUAUAGGAUAUUAGCUUGCACUCAGUAACCAAGGAAACAAAUUUUACUAAGCUAGAUGUUAGAUUCCUUUGGUUUGUUUGUUUGUUUGUUUUUAAAACAAUAUGUGCUAGAUUUUUCUUCCAUUUCUUUUAUUAAAAUCUCAGCUCACAUUGUGUUGUUGAAUAUAGGGCUGUAAACAAAUCGAGCCCUUAACAAAACAAUUCAAACUCAAUUCGUUAAGGGUUUGAUUCGAAUUUCAUUUUGAAUAAGUUCGAAUUCAAAUUCGAAUCAGUGUUAGGAUUAGAUGAAAGUGUCAAUUCGAAAUUGAACUUGUAUACAUUCAGCUUGUUAAGGUCCGAAUACACUUUUUAUAUUUUUAUUUAAUAGAUAAAUAUUUUAUACAUAAUAAUACAUUUAUUAUUUAAUUUUAUAGAUAUUAUAUAUCUAUUAUUGAUAAACAAUAUUUAAAUAUAAAAAAUAGAUAAAAUUUCGGGCUCUCGAAUCAAACUCAAACCUAUUGAAUAUUACAUCUAAUCUUGUUUGAGUUUAAAUUUUAAUCUUUUAUAGGAUUCGAAUUCAAAUUCGAGUUUGAGUCCAAAAUUUCAAAUUAAACCUGAGAGCUUCAAAGUUCGAUUCAGUUCAAUUCAUUUACAGCUCUUAGUUUAUAAGUCAGAAUCUUGGUUUUUCUGGGUCAUAUCUACCUUGUAUAUAAGAAGAAAGCCAAGUUACUAUUGCAACCCAUCUUUUUGACACAUGUAUUACAUAUAUUUUUGACAAGUGGAGCUAAAUUUUUCCUUCCCUUUUUUGAUUCAAUUGGGUCAAAAGGAUUAAAAUGUUUUUUCUCCUUCAAAAAAUCAACUCCAUCUCUUCUUCUUCUUCUUCUUGCGGCAACUACUAUCAUCCCUUACUUUUUUUUUUAUUUUUUUAAACUAAUCUAACUAAGAUUGUUUCCAUGUCCUUUUUUUGUCGAGAUGAUUAACUACUUAACAAAAAGAAAUCUUUAUUAUUUUUUUCAUCCCAUUUUAUGUUUUCUUUUCUUCCUUUUUUUCUUCAUCUCUAAUCUCUCUUGUUUGCUUUAUUCUUCGAUCAUAAUGUUAUAGCCAACAGGCAUUUGUUUGUUAAAUUUAUAAGAUGAUGUUGUUAUUUGGUAUUUCUUCAUGGAUAAAAGGUGAAAUAUUAAAAUAUGUAAAAAGAUCUUACAAUUCAUUUUAUACUAGUGAUCAUCUUUUAUGAAGAAUAAAACAAAAAUUCAUUCUUUUAUUUUCUCCUCCCAUGAUUUGAUUUGUUACUUCAUAUUUUUUUUUCCUUUUCUUUGUUUUUUGGUUACAUUUUAUAAUUAUCUACAAUUUUGUCUAUUCUUUUAGGAGAAAGAUAUAUCAUGCGAUACUUCCACCAAGAUAAAUCUAGUUAGGCAUUCUUCUACCUCUGUUUCUUUCUUUUCACCCCCUUUUUGCAAUUACUUUAUGGUCUAUUCUAUUUAAUUGAAGGAUCCAAUAAGAUUUUGUAUAUAUUUAAACUAAAGUUAAUUUCUGUUUGUUUUUUAAGUACUCCAGUGCUGUAGUAUCAAUUGGGUUGGCAUAUAAGGAUUAUAGUUGGUGGUGGAAGUCACAAUUGAGUCUUUCAGUCCAGAGUGUGACUUGACAAAAAAUUGUUAGAAAAUUAAUUUUGAUUAGGAAGAUGUUUUGCAAUAAAAAAAGGGUAAAAUACAAAAAAGUCCCCCGUGGGAAACCUAAUACAUAGAAAACCCCUUGUGGUUUCAAAAUAUACAACAUGACACCCCGUACUUUGAAUUAAAUUGUAAAGGUGACGGAAUCUGUUAAACUUAACAGAAAUGACUUAUUGAAACCUAAAAAAAAAAAUUAUACCUAAUUUUUAACAAAUAUACCUGUUCUACCCCUUAACCAUCAAUUCUCUCUAUCUAAAGAAUAAAACAAAUGAUUUUUUUGAUCUGUUUUUUGCUUAAUUAUAUCAUGGCAUUUUGGUCAUUUCGUCCAUUUUCGUUAAGUUUAAUGAAUUCCGUCAUCUUUAUAAUUUAGUUCAAAAUACGGAGUGUCAUGUUGUAUAUUUUGAAACUACGAGGGGCUUUUCUGUAUAUUAGGUUUACCACAUGGGGCUUUUUUAUUUUUUACCCUAAAAAAAAUGGUUCAGUUCUAAUUUGUAUAUGUAGAUUUGGAAACGUAGCAGUUCAUAUUUUUAUCUAACCUUGCUAUUUAUAUUCUAGAGUUGCAGGAUAAUGUUGUCAUCUUUAGGCGAGAUUUAAAUAGAUAAACUAGCUUAUUCCAUCAAAAGAAAGAAAAAUGUGAAAGUUUAUAGUAAGUUAUAUUUAUAUUGAAGAUUAUGCCAUGUCUUAAUGGCUUUCUAAACUUUUUCUCAUUAUUAAAGUACCGAAACAUUAUGACUACUUCUGGUUUAGUUACAACUAAAACUAUGUUGUUAUUAAUACAACAAUGCGUUUAUAGUGUAUUAAUUUUCUCUCUUUUUUUGGUAUCAUCAUAAUAGUAGUUCAAAAAUCUUUAUUCAAAUCAUAAUAAAUGGGGAGGUUGACUUCAUAGAUGAAAUCUCUCUUCACAACAAAUUUUGAGAAAAAUUUUAUUUAUACUCCAUAUUUUGUUAAUUGUAUUCCUACAAUAAAUAAAAACUAUAUGAUAAAAAUAAUAGUGAAAGUAUAAUUAAUAAAAAUGAGAAUUCAAAUAACAUUUUAUCAAUUUUAAUUGUUUUGAUGUUCAAUUUUUCUACUAUAUUUCUAUUCAUUCAUCACGUGCCAAAAUAAUUUGAUAAUAUAUGUUCGACUAAAUUUCUAGGACCAAGCUGUGUUUUGCACGCAGCUCAAGUAUCAUAAUAAUAAUAUUUUGUUUGAGUCGAAGGGCAAAACUGGAGGGAGGUGAGUCAGGUGACCCUAUAGAGCUAUGCCGUCCAUUUGGCUUCAGUUCCUUGACUCCUCCAAUCAUAUUUAUUGAGCCUGUCAAAAAAAAAUCAUAUAUGUCAGUUCCAGGUCUAUUCUCCCUUCCUUGGUCAUCGUCUCCACUGGUUAUCCACACAAAAACGCACCGCGUGGUGUGCCGUACGCCGGGCUCUUUUCCCUCCGGUGAUGUUACGUUAGCUUCAUGGUAAAAGGAUAUGGCUAGGCAUUUACCUUUAAAAAAGCUUUUCAAAUUUCAUAUUUUUUUAAGCUCAAUUUUAUGCUAAUUUCCACUCAAUUUUAUGCUAAUUUCCAUUCUAAACGAACGUGGUUUUGGUUUUGGACAGAAUGCCCUAAUGGCCAUCAAACUAUUAUGAAGUUUAAUUUUUGACCCUCCAACUAUUAAUUGAUAAGUUUUAACAUUCUAACUAAUUAAAAUAUAUAAUUCUAGCCCUUCCGUCAAUUCGAGUCGUUGUGUUGAAUAGAAAUAGCACAACGUGCAUAGCAAUGGCUCUCAAACUAUUAUAAAGUUCAACUUUGACCCUUUAACUAUUAAUUGAUAAAUUUUAGUUUUUCAACUAAUUAAAAUAUAUAAUUCUAACGCUUCUAUCAACAUGAAUCAUUAUGUCAAACUGAAACAUUACUACGUACACGGUAGGAACAUAACCAAGAGGUAUUUUCAUCUCCACAGGAUAUAUGUUAGAGUAAAAUUGUUUUACCUCUAUUUGACUCAUAAACUAAUUUACCAAAUCUCCAUUUGAUGAAAUGAAUCCAAAUCAAUUGAAAACCCAUAACCCAAAACCCUUGAUAGAGAAUUUUCAGCAAGGAUAGGCACCUUGAAGAAAUUGAAUUGUCUUCAUUUUGAAUUUAACUCAUUUUUCUGUGUUGUUUUAGACUCAUUGAAUUUAUGUGCUUCUCCUAAUGACAUAAACUUGGUAUAUAAUUGAUUGUUUGGGAAUAUUUUAGCAAGCCUUGGUUCCGUUUCAAGUUUGAACUUUCUAAAUCUCUCAAAUAAUUAAUUCUCUAGUGAGAUUCCUCCAAACUUGCAUUUUGGCCUUCUUGAUUUGUCAAACAAUAGGUUGGUUGGGCACAUUCUCGAAUCCUUUAUCAAUAGAUAUUUCUAUUCGACAUAAUGACUCAAGUUGAAAAAAAGGUUAAAAUUAUAUAUUUUAAUUAGUUGGAGAGCUAAAACUUAUUCGUUAAUAGUUAGAUAAUCAAAAUUUGAAUUUUGUAAUAGCUUGAGAGCUACAAGGGCAUUUUGACCAUCUCAUGAAUCCUGUAGCUCUGUUAGACAUAACGGCUGAAAUUGACGGAAGGGCUAGAAUUAUCUAUUUUACCUAGUUAGAGGGCUAAAACUUUUCACUUAAUAGUUGGUGGUCAAAAAUUGAAUUUCAUAAUAGUUUGAGGACUAUAAGGACAUUUGGCCAUUUGGUUUUUGAUUAUAAGGAAGGAUACUUAAUUCGAAAAAAACGUUCAAAACCUCUUUCACAUUUUGUAAAAUAAAUUUUUUCAUCCCUCAUGUUUAAAAGUGUAAUUUACGUCCAUCAUAAAUUCACAUUGGUCAAAUUUGGUUCCUACAUAAGUUUCCGACUAAUUUUUUAUCAAAAUCCACCAUGUGCCUUGCACGUGAUCAUUUUUAAGGAAAAAUUUGUCAAAUCAAAAUUUACAUAAUCCGAUCCAUAGUCCUUUACAUUUUACAAAAUAAAUUUUUUCGUCCCUCAUAUUUCAAAAAAUAAAUUUUUUCAUCCCUCACAUUUCACAAAAUAAAUCUUUCGUCCUACACAUUUCACAAAUUAAAUUUUUUCCCCUCUCACAUUUUACAAAUGAAUUUUUUUCAUCCAUAAUUGAUCAUGUGUACGAAUAAUUUUUUCCUUUAAACCCAUGUAUAUAUUUAUUUGAUUUUACCUAAAUAGUAUGAAUAGCAUGUAAUAUAUCUCUAUUUAAUUUCACAUGUUCAGACGAAUUCAAAUAGAUAUAUAUAUAUAUAUGUAUAUAUAUACGAGUUUAAAAAAAUUAUUAGUUUUUCAUUUAUAUUCAUUUCAUUUUACUUGAAAAUUGAAAACAAAUAAGAUAUUUAAUUCUAAACAUUAUCGAGUAUUUAUAUCGAAUUAAAUUUGGAUAGAAAAAAUAAACAAAGGAACACUAUAACAAAAAGAAGUAAAUGCUUAGCACUUUCAAAUUUUAAAACAAUCACAAGGUAAGUAAUUCAACUGAUAGUGUUAAAGGUAGUGAGUAGAAGUUUUAGAUUUAAAUUGCAAUUUGUUAGCAUAACUAUAGAAUUCGAAUUAGAACCCAUUAAUUGGAUGGCCUUAUUGUAUAAUGCAAUAAGUGAAUUAUUAUCAAAAGAGAAAAGGUUGUCAAUAUUGAAUAGGUUCACCUGGUGAAAUCAAAUAGAUAUAUAUAUAUAUAUGGAUUUAAAAUAAAAUUGUUAGUUUUAAACCUAUAUAUAUCUAUUAAAUAGCAUGUGUACAACUAUAAUUAGCCUAUUUAGGUGAAAUCAAAUAGAAAUACAUUACAUGUUAUUUGUACAAUUCAGGUGAAAUUAAACAGAUAUAUACAUGGAUUUUAAAAAAAAUAUUCGUACAUAUGGUCAAUGUAGGAUGAAAAAAUUCAUGUUGUAAAAUGUGAGGGAUGAAAAAAUUUAUUUUGUGAAAUGUGAGGAACUAUGGAUCGAAUUAUGUAAAAUUUGAUUUGACAAAUUUGACCCUAAAAAAUGAUCAUAUGCUAGGCACGUGGUGGAUUUCGACAAAAAAUUAGUCGAAAACUUAGAUAGGGAUCAAAUUUAACCAAAGUAAAUUUGUAAAGGACGUAAAAUUACACUUUUAAGAGUGAGGGAAGAAAAAAGUCAUUUUAUAAAAUGUGAGGGACGUUUUGAACAAUUUUUUCCUUAAUUCUACAACCCUUGACUACUUUUCAACAGUUUUGUUAGAUUGGACCGGCCAAACAGUCCAAUCAUGAACCAACCUCCUUCCCAAACUGGUUAGUAGCAUAAAAUCGUUUUGAUUAAAAAAAAAAUCAAUCAAAAUCGUAAAAAAUCGUUCAAACUAGUAACCUGAUUCAACUUCUUGACCCGGUUCACAAACUUUUCUUUCUUGUUUUUCUUAAAUACAAUUUGAGUUACCUCAAUUGUAAAACUUUCAUUUAUUAAUUGGAAUAAGAAAAUGCCACCCACUUUGUGUAAACAUCAAAAUCACUUGCUUCUUAAAUGAUCUCUAAAUCAAAAAGUUUUCAUUUCUAUCAUCUUAUCAAAUUAUCAUCAGUGAUUCCAACUUACAUUAUAAAGCCAUAUUCCUAACAAAAAAUCUUGAAUUGGGUAUAAUUUGUUUUAAUUUAGUUUUUGAAGUCAUUUUGGAGAAUGGACAUAGUUUAACAUGAAUUUACAUUUAUAUAUAUAAUUUUUUGACAUAUAUUUGAUUGCAAAACUAAUAUUUUUGUAAUAUUUUGCAUGGUUGGUCGAAUAUAACCAAAAACUUAGUUUCAAUAUUUUUGAAACUUAUAAAAAUAUUUAAAAAGUAUGACAUCAUACUGAUGUUAGCGAAUUUUUGAGAAUAAUUCGAUUGAUCCGAUCAGUUGAUCCCUAACGGGUUAGUUUGGCCGAAUUUAGCAACCUUGCUUUCCAAACUUGAUUUGAGCUUUCUUGGACGCAAACAUGUUUGAAAAUCAGGAGCAAAACAGUAGUUAUGUGACCAUUGGGAUCCUUGGAUUGACUUAUAAAUUCUUUCUUUUUCCCCUUUCUCCUUAAAAGGGUUGGAGUCUCCCCUUGUAUUGGAAAAAAAAAAGUAGUAUAUCUACAUGAGCGAGAAAAAAUAAACAGUGAUUUGAUUAGUUGUAUAAGAAAUGAGAUAGAGAAUGGGAAACUCUUUUUAAGCACUUAAGUGAACCUAGAAUUUCUCUUAAGAAGUAACUUGGCGUCCAUUGGGUAGUGUUUAUUAAAAGAAAGAAACUAGCGCAUCCAAGUUAAAAUCCUCGUGCUGCGAAUCACAUGCAAGAUUUAUGCAUGCAUGCCUACUAAAUUAGUAAAUUGAUAAGCUUGUACCAAUCAAGGUGUCAAAGGACUAUAUUUAAUCGUGGCAGGAUUUGAGCCAAUAAUUUUAGAAAUGAAAAUGACUUUUGAAAAAAAUUCAAAUCCCAGCUCAAAUUGAGUUGACGUGAUAUGACCCGAUCUAAACUGCAAACAUGGUUAUGCAACUUCAAAAGCAACUAGGCAGGCCUUAAAUGCCCGCGCUGGGCUGUUCGGGUGGUGAAGGCGGAGUUUUUACUCCAAAUUUCCCUGGAUUCGAUUCUAGCCCGCAACUCAAUUGUUUACAGUUUUAGACAUCGGUCGUAUUCGCUCUGUUUGGGCGCUGUGGGAUUAGUCGGGUGCUCUCAGAUACCCACAAUAUCAAAAAAAAAAACUAGAUAGGCCUUAAAUCAAAUAUACCGUGUUUGGAUAAGAGAUUAGUUGAGAUAUUAUUUGAGAUAUUUAUUGUAAUGUUUUUAUGAUGUGAUAUAUGUUAGAUUAAUAUAUGAUUAAAAAACGUGUUUUUGAUACAAGUAAAUAAAAUUUUAUAAAUAAUAUGAUAUCUAAAUAAAUUAUUUAAAAUAAUUAUUAUAGCACUUUUCAUGACAUGGCUUAUGUGAAAUAAAAAAUAUAGUUAAGAAUAUUAAAAAAGUGGCUAUAAUAUGUAUUUACAAUACUUUUAAAAAUUUCUCCAUCCAAGCCACUAUUUCACACUAGUUUUUAAUUUUGGGCAAAAGCCAAUUGAUUAAAGAAAUGGAUCCUAUGCAAGUAAAGGAGAUUUCCGGGUCUACCUGUGACAACCAAAAGUUGGCCCGAAGCGGUGUAGCCGCCAUGGUGGGGCAACCUAUAUGUGCCUUUAUAGCUGUCGGAAAACAAUGGUACAGGCCUACCUUGAAUGACCAAAAACUACUUUGUAGAACUUUUCUUUUUGUUUAUCGUUUUUUUUUUGGGAAAGAAGAUAUGCACAAAAGACAUCAAUCCGGCUGCUACUAUAGUGCAUGAGUUUAUUCCUAGGUGUUGAAGUAAUAAUUUUAGUGCUGCCCAGCAAUAUUUCACAUAAUGGCAAAAUCUCCCCAGGUGAUAGUGAACAUUUUCUGUUUUAAGGACAUUAUGGUCAUUUUAAUUUAGAUUGAUAUGCUAUUGCCAAGGCUGCACCGCUUCCGUUUGGAUUGGUCAAUUUUUCAAAAAUAAGCUUUUCAAAUACAAUAGUACAAUAAUGCACAGAUAAUAAUAACUUAAAAAAUAUCUCAUCCAUACUUUUUUUGGGAAAUAUUAACAGAUAACUCAUCCAUGUAAUAUAUCAAAAAUAAUUCAUAAAUAUACACAAAAGAAUUAAAAAAAAUGAAUAUUACAACAUUUUUCACCCAUCACCUCACCCACCUCUGCCACCACCCCUCCCUCCUCCUCCUCCCCUUCUCUUCCUCGCCAUCCCUCAAUCCUUCCCUCUUGACCAGAUCGAGGCCUUUGGUCAUGACCAGAAGGUUGCGAUUCUGGUUGCGAUCUGGCCACGACCAGAUCGAGGGGAGAGGGAGAGGGAGAGGGAGAGAGGAGGAGGAAGAGGGAAGGGAGAAGAGGGAGGAGGAGGAGAAAGCAGGACGGAGAGUGUGGUGGCGGUGAUGGGUGGGGGGUGAAGGUUGUGGUUGUGGGUGCUAGAAUUAAUUUUUAAAAAGUAUUCUAAAAAUAUUUUAAUUUUAAAAGGUGCCCCAAAAUAUAUUCUAAAAACCUCUCCAAAAACAUCUACAGUAAAAAUUUUUCAUAUACAUUGUUACAGUAAAAUAUUUUAACAACACUCCCAAAGAUAGCAAAUCCAAAAAAAAAAUUACUUGAGUGUGUUUGGAUUGCUAAAUUAUUCUAAAUAAUAUUUCACUUACAUCAUAAACAUAUUUCCUAAUCCACUUUUUUAUAUUUCCAACUACUUUUUUAUCUCACACACAUCACAUCACAAAAAGUGCUACAGUAAUUAUUCAAAUAAUACUUUAAUUUGGGCACUAAUUAUAUCUAGCUUAAAGUUUAUGUCAAUAUCCACAAUACAUCUUAAAUGCCGUUUGUGGACGCUUUACUUAGGCUCUGUGUUUGAUAAUCCAAUUCAAUACCUAAAACUUAAUAGGUUCAAAUUUUAACAUGUUUAGAUGCAUUUGAUAAUAAAAAAUAGAACAUCUGAAUUGAUUAAGUAAUAUUGAAUUUUCCAAAUAAAAAUUGAUCCAAAAAAUGAGUGACAAGCUAUUCACUUAUUAGUUAAUAUGAUAUAUAUAUUCAAAUAUAUUAGAUUUAGUUCCUAUUUGAUAAUCCAAUUAGCAUUUAUAUUUAAUGGAUUCAGAUGCAUUUAAUAAUAAAAAAUUAAAUAUCUAAAUUAAUUAAGUGGCAUUGAAUUUUUUAAGCAAAACUUGUUCCAAAAAAUAGGUGAUAAGUAUUAAUCACAGCCUUCUUGUGAUUGUCCCUAUGGGUUUGAAGGAGUUAAACUGUCGUUAUUCAAUUAUCACUUAACGUGAUAUACACUCAAAUAUCAAAUUUAGUAUUUAAUAAUUUAAUAACUUAAUGGAUUUAAAUUUCAAAUUUUAGAUUUUAGAUUUUAGUUUUCAGAUUUCAAAUUUAUCAAAUGCAUCCAGAGUACUUAACAAAUAGUAACUUAAUAAGAAUUUAGAUUUCAAUUUUCACACUUCAACUUUAUCAAACACAGCUUUAGUAAACUUUUAUAUGGAACUCACCCUAGUUGAGUAGUUAAGGAUUUUAGAAAAGCUUACGGAAAAUAGCGUGUAUGCAUGGUUUCCUGCAAUUAAUUGUACUUUACAUCAUUAACCUUUUGAUUAAUUUGCACAUUGUUCCCCAAACAUCAGUUUUGAACCUUUUGCGCCUUAAAAUAUUUAACUGUCUCACUGUAGUCCAAUCGUUAAUGGCAUCAAAAUUAGACAAAGUUAUGGACAGAUAUACAUUUGAUUUAGCUCUGGCAAAGAAAGUUUAUAAAAUGCAAAACCUACAUCUACCCAUGAAUAGUUUUCAAUUAGAGUGGUACUCCCUCCCCUACUCCUACAUCUAGUCGAAUUUCUUUCUUUUCUUUCAACCAAUAAAUUUUCAGCAAAUGGCCUUUAAUUAUUUUUUUUUUAAAAAUUAUUUCUGCAUUGGAAUUUUCUUUAUGGAAAAUUUUAUAUCGGUCGGAGCAACUAUUAGGUAUAAGAAAAGGACAGGCACCUAUUUUAUCUAUGGAUUUGGAGAUGAUUGGAGUACUAGUUUUCUAUUUUGGCAAUAUACAUACAUAUAGCUUUGCCCACACUAUAAACAACUAGUUAGAUUAAAAGCAAACAAUUUGUUUUUACUAAUUUUCUUGAGCAAUUUCUUUUUUCAAUAUUUAAUAUCUUAAUGCUUUACAACUAUCAAAGGAACAAUAUCUAAUGGAAAUUUAAAAUUACUGACAUGGUGAAACGCUAAUUUUAAUUCCUUGUAACAAAUACUCAUGUGCAUAUCAUUAAUUGAUUUCUUAGAUGUUCUUAACAAUUGAAAUAAAGUGGACAAAUAAGACACUUAAAGCUACCAAAAAAGAAAUCUGAAAAAUUAAAAUUUGGAGUGCAUAAUGCUAAGCAAGGAAGUAUGGAAAGUAAAAAUGUGAUGCUAAUUAGCUGUUAUUUUAUUGUUGAUUAUGCGUAAGGCCAUCAUCUAUUGGACCAAAGUCAGUUUAAUAAAGCAUUUAAGGUGCAAAAUGUCCAGAUUAAAACUUAGGGAAUGUGAUAAUCGGUGUAAAAUUAUGACAGUACUCUAAUCCUGAUUAAGGGUCUUAAUAACCACCAAUGACCACCUAAGAGUAAUCUAUCACAAAACAUGCUACCACUUAAAUUUCUUUGCAAGUGAAUCCGAGUCUACCUUAGAAAACAAGAAUGAGUAACUCUUAUGUCUUGUUCUCAAGAAAUUGGUUUAUUCUGAAUACCAUGAGAAUAUUCCAAAUAGCAAAUCUCCAGCAGAUAAUUAACUUAAUAUCUCGAAGUAAAAAAACUGAAUCCUUUUAAUUGUUCAUCUUUGGUGAAUGACAAGAAGGGUUCAUUCUCCACAAAAAAAAAAAAAAAACAGAAUACAGAAAUAAACAUAUAAAUGCCUUUUCUACGUUAUCUAACUAAAAUAAAAGUUUUAUUAUUAUCUCAAUAAAAGUUUAUCACCUCGGUCUUGCCCUUUUAAAUGUUUUUUUUCCCAUAAAUGUUCUACGUAUCGUUGAAUUUGGAUGGAAAAGUAUGUAAGAAAUCAAAUUUAACAACUUCUUGUUGAAAGAGAAAUGUUACUACUAAUUUUUUUUGGGGGUAUAAUCAUGAGAAUUCAACAAGGGUUGUACACAUGUUAGUUUAAUAUCAAAUGUGUAAUAGAAACGAACAUACUAAGCACUAGGAAUUUGGUUAUGGAACGACAAUUAUGCCAUGAUCUUGGAGUACCUCAAGGACCAGAUAUGCAAUCCCGCUUGCAGCCCUAACUUUGUUCAAUCCAAGAAAUAAAAGGUACUCAAAAUCCAAAAUCCAACCUUGAAUUAUUUGCUAUAAUAGAGGAAACAAAAAAGGUGGGGGGUUUUUGGGGGAGGGGAGGGGCGGGGGAAGCAGAGGAAAGAUGAUGAUGAUUUUAUCCAGUCUUGGAAUCAAAGACAAGAAGCAAAUAAUCGAAAAUCAUAAUAGAGAGUUUGUUUGUUUGGUGAACAUGACUUUGCUUCUUGCAAAUUCCCCUUUAUACCGUGUUACAUGUGGCAAUAGAAAUGAUCCAAAAGAGUAUCUUUCCAUCUCCAAGCAAUCCAAAGCCAAUUUUUCUUGGUCCUCAAUGAUCCAUUCUUCUAAAGCUUGCCAUUUACUAAUUACUACUACUAUAAUUGUUGAGCGUCACCAAUUACUUGCUUCUUUCUAACUAGAAAUUAAAAGAUUACGUGAUAAGAAAAGUCAAGAGGAAAGUGCAGUAAAAAAGAAUGGAUUAGAAACAUAAUGUGCACAUUAUUGGAUGUGAAAGUGACCUUCGCGUUUCACAUCAAUGCCCCUCUGUCCUAAAUGCAUAAUUCUCUGUCAGUCAAUGCCGUGCAAAGAAACACUUUUGAUUUUCCAACUAUGAAAUGAUUGCAGUAGAGCGUCUAAUUAAGGUUAUGAAUCUCACUACUGUUAUUUUGAGUAGGGUUGCUUUUUUCAAAAGAAAAAAGCGAAAAGAAAAAAGAGAGAGUUGUUAAUCACGGUACUAUCAUUUUCAAUCUGUGAGAAUUCUUGGAUAGAAAGUGGCCUGGACGGAGCGUUUGGAAUUUUCAGAUGGAUUAGGUGUUUAACUGGUCAUUCAAAACCUGUUUUUCCACAAGGCAAAUAAAUGAGGCAGAGGAGUCUGUACUACGCUCGCAUGGAUAUUAAACAUCUCAAGCUGAAAGCAAUAUACGUAGGUGUUAUUUACUUGUUAAUAUCAAGGCUAUUUUGUCACUGAGACCCACGUAAGUAAGCCGUACACAUACGUAUAAGGAAAACAACAGAAGUCGUUAUAUAUAUGUACAAGGAAAAUCUUACAUUAAACGACAUGCGACUUACAUGACAAAUACAAACAAAAUCACGACUCACCUGUUUAAUUUGAGGAAUUCUUACGCUUGUAUCCGUCGCUUAUAUAUAGAUAUCCUGAUUUUGAGUCGCUCUUUGUACUUAAACUUUAAAGGGUUUGUUUGGAUUGUAAGUUAUUUGAGAUAUUUUUACUGUAACAUUUUUUGUGAUGUGAUGUAUGUGAGAUAAAAAGGUGUAUUGAAAAUUGUAGUGAUAAUGUAAGUAAAUAUAUUUGGAAAAAUAAUCAGCUGUUUAUGUAUAAAUACAUAAUGCAUUUUGCCUUAUUCUUGGGUUCCAUUUACUCUCUUGAGUUAUUCCAAUGUAAUACGGAACUUGCAUUGGAUCCCAGACUUUCAAGGAUCUUCAUUUCUUCUUGGUGUGAAUUGUAAUGUCAAAACAAAAUUGGAGGUGUAUUCAUUAGGUCGUUCAUUAACUAAUAAUAUGUACGUAAAAUUUUGACUUUUUAACAUGAGGGACACAUGCAUUUGUGAAGUCAUGAAUGUGUUUGUUACUCACAUUGGCAAUCAUAUGCAACUCCAUGUGAUCACAUACUAGACCAUUUUGGUAAACCUUCUCUACUGUUUGUUUCCAUUUUUUUUCCAUCUUUUCACCUGACAUGCAGCUCGAGGAAUUACGAAGCAGCCUUUGUCUUUCUUUCCCUUUCCUUGGAACUUUCCUUUUUUCUGUCUUAUGAUCAUCUCAUAUUUUCCAGUUCUUGCAAGUUUCCUUUGAAUGAUUCUGAGGUACUCAUGGUGACUUCCACAAAGUGGGACAUUUAUGUUGGAAGCUGUAAUACUUACCCUUUUGCUCUCUUUUUCCCUUUUCAUUUCAUCAGAGCCACCAACCAAAUGUCUGCUAAGGAAAUUGACUGAAUGUGGCCGCAAACAAUUCUCUCAUUAUGGAGAAAUCACAUGCCCUUAUCAAAAAAAAAAAAAAAACAGUAGAAGAUAAUCUGUCAUCGUGGAGGAAAUUGUGGUACCAAAAAGUCAUUCUGUACCAAGAAUAUAUAUAAUGAGCCAAGUCCAGUUCUUCCCUCUUGGCUAAAGGUGUGGAACACAUUAUCUGGCAACUACGUAAUGAAAGGGAAACUUCUCUGUCGGUUUACUUUUUGAAGGAUGAUAUAAAAACGAUCAAAGAGCAAUCAAGUAAUCUUGUAGAUUCCUGAAAUUGCAAAAGAAAAUUAAACACAAAACUAAGCAUUUUUAGUGCUCAUUUAAGUCAAGGUUUCUCGUGUCAUUAACUUUAGGCCUUGUUUGACAAGCCAGUUUUUGGCCAAAUUGUCUGCUAUGAGUUUUUAAACAACUUCAACUAUAGUAAUCUCAAAAAAUUUCUCAAAAAUUUUAAACUAUACAAUUCAAAAUAUCCCAAGAGUUACACACUUCAAAAAUUUUUUCUACAAUUUUUACAUUAAAUUACAGUAAAAUUUUAAACAAACAUUCAAAACACUCACUUGCCAAACGAGGCCUGUUAAUAAUGCUUAAACAUCUUUGACUAAUCUUCACACAAUGAAUUCCGGACCAUAUAUAUGUUCAAAAAUGUGGGGUGUGACUGAAGUUUAAAAAAUAAGUUUUUUUUUUUUUAAGAAAAAAAGGAUAGCAAGGACGAAAGAGCAAGGGAGAUCCAGGAGAAAUGAUUGAUCUCAGUAAUCAAUCAUGAGAAGGUGCAUGGCAGCAACACAAAAAUCAAAUUUUUAAUUGUGGUUGGAAAGUGGAAUUAUUUAAAAUUGUGCAACUACUCCCUCACUUCUAUGCAUGUUGUACCUGCAACGGCACGCACGUUGGCAUUUUAUGCAAUGUAGCAGGUGACUAGUUCUUAGCAAACCUAUGAACUGAAAAAUAAAACUGAAUUAGGGUGAAGUUAAUUAAUAGGCAAACUCAGUUUAAGUGAUCAAACUAUUUGGUGCUUCCAGCUGGAGAGUUGAUUGUAAAAAUUUACUACAAAAAAACUAACAAAGAAAUUGUAAUGGUCCCUGAUUGACAGCUUUCUUUUAACGACUAGUUCUUUCUCUUUUGCUGUAUAAAUAAUUGACACAUUGGAUGCAAAAGAUGUAGCCUCUCAACUAAAGCACUAAAAUUUGUGCUCUUCUGACUAUUCUAACUACUCCUCCAGCUCCAGGUUCCUUCAUCUUCAUCAUCAGAGGUGGUGCAGGGCUUCAACAUUGGCUGCACAGGAAGAGUUUUCCGGCGAGAAAUGAGGCUUCGAGGCGGCGACCCCGCCAGGGGUCGUCUGUUGCUAGUGGCAUUGGCCAUUUUGGGUGUUUCAGUGGUGGUCUCAGCAGACCCUUAUGAGCACAAGUCUUCUCCACCACCACCAUAUGAGUACAAGUCUCCACCACCACCCUCACCUUCACCUCCACCAUAUGAAUAUAAGUCUCCUCCCCCACCACCAUAUGAGUACAAGUCUCCACCACCACCCUCUCCUUCACCACCACCAUAUGAGUACAAGUCUCCUCCCCCACCACCAUAUGAGUACAAGUCUCCACCACCACCCUCACCUUCACCUGCACCGUAUGAAUACAAGUCUCCUCCCCCACCACCAUAUGAAUAUAAAUCUCCUCCCCCACCACCAUAUGAGUACAAGUCUCCACCACCACCCUCUCCUUCACCUGCACCAUAUGAAUACAAGUCUCCUCCACCACCACCAUAUGAAUAUAAGUCUCCUCCCCCACCACCAUAUGAGUACAAGUCUCCACCACCACCCUCUCCUUCACCUCCACCAUAUGAGUACAAGUCUCCUCCCCCACCACCAUAUGAGUACAAGUCUCCACCACCACCCUCACCUUCACCUGCACCGUAUGAAUACAAGUCUCCUCCCCCACCACCAUAUGAAUAUAAGUCUCCUCCACCACCCUCUCCUUCACCUGCACCAUAUGAAUACAAGUCUCCUCCACCACCACCAUAUGAAUAUAAGUCUCCUCCUCCACCUUCACCCUCUCCACCACCACCAUAUGAGUACAAGUCUCCACCACCACCCUCUCCUUCACCUGCACCAUAUAAAUACAAGUCUCCUCCACCACCACCAUAUGAAUAUAAGUCUCCUCCUCCACCUUCACCUUCACCUGCACCAUAUAAAUACAAGUCUCCUCCACCACCACCAUAUGAAUAUAAGUCUCCUCCCCACCACCAUAUGAGUACAAGUCUCCACCACCACCCUCUCCUUCACCUGCACCAUAUAAAUACAAGUCUCCUCCCCCACCACCAUAUGAGUACAAGUCUCCACCACCACCCUCUCCUUCACCUGCACCAUAUAAAUACAAGUCUCCUCCACCACCACCAUAUGAAUAUAAGUCUCCUCCUCCACCUUCACCCUCUCCACCACCACCAUAUGAGUACAAGUCUCCACCACCACCCUCUCCUUCACCUGCACCAUAUAAAUACAAGUCUCCUCCACCACCACCAUAUGAAUAUAAGUCUCCUCCUCCACCUUCACCCUCUCCACUACCACCAUAUGAGUACAAGUCUCCACCACCACCCUCUCCUUCACCUGCACCAUAUGAGUACAAGUCUCCUCCCCCACCACCAUAUGAGUACAAGUCUCCACCACCACCCUCACCUUCACCUGCACCGUAUGAAUACAAGUCUCCUCCCCCACCACCAUAUGAAUAUAAGUCUCCACCACCGCCCUCUCCUUCACCUGCACCAUAUGAAUACAAGUCUCCUCCACCACCACCAAUGAAGCCUCCACAUCCACCAUACUACUAUAAUUCUCCACCACCACCAGUGAAGCCUCCACAUCCGCCAUACUACUAUAAUUCUCCGCCACCACCAGUUAAGCCACCACAUCCACCAUACUACUACACUUCUCCUCCACCACCACCAAUGAAGCCUCCACAUCCACCAUACUACUAUAAUUCUCCACCACCGCCAAUGAAGCCUCCACAUCCGCCAUACUACUAUAAUUCUCCACCACCACCAGUUAAGCCACCACAUCCACCAUACUACUACACUUCUCCUCCACCACCACCAAUGAAGCCUCCACAUCCACCAUACUACUAUAAUUCUCCACCACCGCCAAUGAAGCCUCCACAUCCGCCAUACUACUAUAAUUCUCCACCACCGCCCUCUCCUUCACCUGCACCAUAUGAAUACAAGUCUCCUCCACCACCACCAAUGAAGCCUCCACAUCCACCAUACUACUAUAAUUCUCCACCACCACCAGUGAAGCCUCCACAUCCGCCAUACUACUAUAAUU